CCUUCGUCUUCUGGGGCUGUACCGCGUAAUGAAGCUCCAAAUGAUCAACCUCUGAUGCCUCCUUCUAGGGUUCUGUCCAGUACUGAGGCUCCAAAUGAUCCCCCUCCGGUGCCUUCUCUUUCUGGGGCUCUACCGACUGUUGAGACUUCUCCUAAGCAACCUUUGUGAAGGCUCCCUCUUGUGUGCUUAUUUUGACUCAUGUAUAUGUACAUAUUUGUAGCUUAUCGGGGAUAUCAAUAAAUAAGCUUUCCUUCAUUUCAACGUAUUGUGUUAAAUACACCAAAGCCUUCUUCGCUAAGUUCUUUGAAUUUUCUUUUGUUAAAGCUUGUAUGUUGAAGCUUUCUGAGUGGAGCAUGUAGGUUGGGGUAGUGUUCCCUUAAUUUCCCGAGUGAGGAAAACUUCUCGGUUGGAGACUUGGAAAAUCCAAGUCACUGAGUGGGAUCGGCUAUAUGAAUCUUAGAACGCCAUUGUGCUCGAUCCUGUGUCAUGUCCUUCGUUAGAUCCAAGUACUCUAAGUCUUUUCUUAGAGUCUCUUCCAAAGUUUUCCUAGGUCUUCCUCUACCCCUUCGGCCCUGAACCUCUGUCCCAUAGUCGCAUCUUCUAAUCGGAACGUCAGUAGUAGGCCUUCUUUGCACAUGUCCAAACCACCGUAACCGAUUUUCUCUCAUCUUUCCUUCAAUUUCGGCUACUCCUACUUUACCCCGGAUAUCCUCAUUCCUAAUCUUAUCCUUUCUCGUGUGCCCACACAUCCAACGAAGCAUCCUCAUCUCCGCUACACCCAUUUUGUGUACGUGUUGAUGUUUCACCGUCCAACAUUCUGUGCCAUACAGCAUCGCCGGCCUUAUUGCCGUCCUAUAAAAUUUUCCCUUGAGCUUCAGUGGCAUACGGCGGUCACACAACACGCCGGAUGCACUCUUCCACUUCAUCCAUCCAGCUUGUAUUCUAUGGUUGAGAUCUCCAUCUAAUUCUCCGUUCUUUUGCAAGAUAGAUCCUAGGUAACAAAAACGGUCGCUCUUUGGUAUUUCUUGAUCUCCGAUCCUCACCCCUAACUCGUUUUGGCCUCCAUUUGCACUGAACUUGCACUCCAUAUAUUCUGUCUUUGAUCGGCUUAGGCGAAGACCUUUAGAUUCCAACACUUCUCUCCAAAGGUUAAGCUUUGCAUUUACCCCUUCCUGAGUUUCAUCUAUCAACACUAUAUCGUCUGCGAAAAGCAUACACCAAGGAAUAUCAUCUUGAAUAUGUCGUGUUAACUCAUCCAUUACCAACGCAAAAAGGUAAGGACUUAAGGAUGAGCCUUGAUGUAAUCCUACAGUUAUGGGAAAGCUUUCGGUUUGUCCUUCAUGAGUUCUUACAGCAGUCUUUUGCUCCUUCAUACAUAUCCUUUAUAGCUUGGAUAUAUGCUACUCGUACUCCUUUUCUUCUCUAAAAUCCUCCAAAGAAUGUCUCUUGGGACCCUAUCAUACGCUUUUUCCAAAUCUAUAAAGACCAUGUGUAAAUCCUUUUUCCCAUCUCUAUAUCUUUCCAUCAAUCUUCGUAAGAGAUAGAUUGCCUCCAUGGUUGAGCGCCCUGGCAUGAACCCGAAUUGGUUAUCCGAAACCCGUGUCUCUUGCCUCAAUCUAUGCUCAAUGACUCUCUCCCAGAGCUUCAUUGUAUGACUCAUUAGCUUAAUACCCCUAUAGUUCAUGCAAUUUUGUACGUCGCCCUUAUUCUUGUAGAUAGGCACCAAAGUGCUCAUUCGCCACUCAUUUGGCAUCUUCUUCGUUUUCAAAAUCCUAUUGAAAAGGUCAGUGAGCCAUGUUAUACCUGUCUCUCCCAAAAGUUUCCACACUUCGAUUGGUAUAUCGUCUGGGCCUAUUGCUUUUUUAUGCUUCAUCUUCUUCAAAGCUACAACCACUUCUUCCUUCCGGAUUCGACGAUAAAAAGAGUAGUUUCUACACUCUUCUGAGUUACUCAACUCCCAUAAAGAAGCACUCAUUUCAUGUCCUUCAUUGAAAAGAUUAUGAAAAUAACAUCUCCAUCUAUCUUUAACCGCGUUCUCUGUAGCAAGAACCUUUCCAUCCUCAUCCUUGAUGCACCUCACUUGGUUUAGGUCCCUUGUCUUCUUUUCCCUUGCUCUAGAUAGUUUAUAGAUAUCCAACUCUCCUUCUUUGGUAUCUAGUCGUUUAUACAUAUCGUUGUAAGCCGCUAACUUAGCUUCUCUGACAGCUUUCUUCGCCUCUUGCUUCGCUUUUCUAUACCUUUCACCAUUUUCAUCAGUCCUCUCCUUGUAUAAGGCUUUACAACAUUCCUUCUUAGCCUUCACCUUUAUUUGUACCUCCUCAUUCCACCACCAAGAUUCCUUUUGGUGUGGGGCAAAGCCCUUGGACUCUCCUAAUACCUCUUUUGCUACUUUUCGGAUACAACUAGCCAUGGAAUCCCACAUUUGGCUAGCUUCCCCCUCUCUAUCCCACACACAUUGGGUGAUUACCUUCUCUUUGAAAAUGGCUUGUUUUUUCUUCUUUUAGAUUCCACCAUCUAGUCCUUGGGCACUUCCAAGUCUUGUUCUUUUGUCUUACUCUUUUGAUAUGUACAUCCAUCACCAACAAGCGAUGUUGAUUAGCCACGCUCUCUCUCCUGGUAUAACUUUGCAAUCCUUACAAGUUAUACGAUCCCCUUUCCUCAUUAGAAGAAAAUCUAUUUGUGUUUUUGACGACCCACUCUUGUAGGUGAUCACAUGUUUCUUCUCUCUUCUUAAAGAAGGUGUUGGCUAAGAAGAGAUCAUAUGCCAUUGCAAAAUCCAAGAUAGCUUCCCCAUCCUCGUUUCUCUCCCCAAAACCAUGGCCACCAUGAAAACCUCCAUAGUUGCCUGUCUCCCUGCCCACGUGUCCAUUUAAAUCUCCUCCUAUAAAUAACUUCUCCGUCUGAGCAAUUCCUUGCACCAAGUCUCCAAGAUCUUCCCAAAAUUUCUCCUUCGAACUCGUAUCCAACCCUACUUGAGGUGCGUACGCACUAAUCACAUUGAUAAGUUCUUGUCCUAUUACAAUCUUGAUUGCCAUGAUUCUAUCUCCUACCCUCUUGACAUCUACAACAUCUUGUACCAAGGUCUUGUCCACGAUUAUGCCAACACCGUUUCUCGUUCUAUUUGUGCCCGAAUACCAAAGUUUAAACCCUGAGUUUUCUAGAUCCUUUGCCUUACUACCAACCCACUUAGUUUCUUGUAGGCACAUAAUAUUUAUCCUUCUCCUCACCAUAACUUCCACUACUUCCAUAGAUUUUUCCCGUUAAGGUUCCUAUAUUCCACGUUCCUAAACGCAUUUUGCUCUCUUGAACUCUACCCUUCUGUCCUAGCUUCUUCACCCUCCCCCGUCUAAUAGGAUCAAAGUACUUCUUUUGUGUGUCCCGGGUAAAGUUGAUAGGAGCAUAUGCUCCCAAACAACUUUGAGUGGAGUCGUUCGAAAAGAAGUUUCUAUGGCCCCCUUGCUCAUUUAACACUGCAUCCGGGUGCCGAUGGAGAUACAGCGACCCUUGCUCACUUAUCACUGUGCUCAGGCCACACAGCGCGCCACUUACGGGUGACGCCCUAGCUUUAGCGCGAUUUUGUUCUGGAUUCAUUUUCAUAAGGAUUCGACGUGAUCAUGGAGUGCCGGCUGUCGACUACCUGACGCCCUCCCCCUCCUCCUUUAUCCGGGCUUGGGACCAGCCAUGUAAGACAUAGGCGGAGUUACUGUUAAACCUGAUGUAAAAUGAAAAAAAUAUGAAUCGUGCUUCAUGUGGAGGGUAGGUUUAAUUACUUUGUUCAAAAUGAAGCCAUGUCUCGUGGUUUAGGGUUUGACCAAUAAUAUGAUAUUGUCUGCCGAAGGAUCUUCUUCGGCGUGUAAUUAUAUGCACCUUCAGUGAUUAGGGUUUACUUUGUUCUACAACGAAGGACGAGAGCAAGUUUAGGAGCUUGAAGAAAAAUAGUCUUGAGAUGUAGGUUCUUACGUUGGAUUAUUUGUGGUGCAUGUGUAUAGAGAAAACAAAGUUUUAUGGUCAAACCGGAUUAAUGAUUCCUAUGGUGAUAUGGUAUUCAAGAUAGUCCAUGUGAUAAACAAAUUAGGAUAUGAACCCUUGCGGUGAAGAUUGUUGGCAAAUUGGGUUGUUUAGAUAUAGACCCUUAUAACUAUUAUCGUCUAGACAAAAACCCACCUCAUAUUAAACAUCCAAAUAAAAUCCAAAAUUCAAAAAGUCUGUCAUAUUGGCAAAUAAAUGACCUAUCCUUAUAAAAUAUUUACAACUUAUGCCAUAAUGACCUAAAUAUUUCAAUGGAUAUUAUUAUUACUCACCUUCAAUUAUGCUAGCAAUGAGCAAUUUUAAAACCACGUAUUACAGACUAUUUACCCAUAUUUUAAAAAUUCACUAAUUUACCUACAUUCUUUUGAUACAAACUAAUUACCUAUAUUUUAAAAAUUCACUAAUUUACCUACAUUCUUUUGUUACAAGCUAAUUUAUCUGCAUUUUUGUAGUACAUACUAAUUCACCAAUCUAUAAAUGGGGGUAAGGCUAGCCGACAUUCACCUCUCCCAGACCCUGCGUAAAGCGGGAGCCUUGUGCACUGGGUACGACCUUUUAUACUAAUUCACCAAUCUACUUAUUAAUUUACCUAUACAAAUAAUACUGUCAUAUAAUUAAUUAUAAUAUCCAAAGUAAUCAUAUACAUUUUUUUUCUUUACAAUAUCACGUCUAUGGGGAAGGUAAAUUAUUUUUACAGUAUUUCUAAUCUAAGUGGGUACUAACAUAUAGAUAGGUAAAUUAUUUUCUAUGAAAAGAAAAAAAAAUACAACCAUUAAUUUGUAUAAUUUUUUUGACACAAAUUAUUUGUCCAUGUUUCAACGUAAAACACCAUAAUAUUUUUAUUUAUAUUAUAUAUUGCAUUGAAAAGAAAGCCUAAUCAAACAAUAGGUUAAUUGACAUUUAAUUGCAUUGAAAACAAUAAAAUGCAAAAUUUAUUAAUAAUCAUAAGUCAAACCUAACUCACGUUACACUCUAUGAGUGUAUUUUAGGAACAUGAGAAUUAUAAAAACUGACAUUCCAAGCUUGUUAAGGAAAUUUGAUUAGUUGGACUCUAGUACUGACAUUCCAAACUUGUUAAGGAAAUUUGAUUAGUUGGACUCUAGUAAAUGGGGUUUAAGUCUGAAAAAAUAAAGAGGAUGGGUUUUAAGUGAGAAAAUAAGUUUUAAGGGGGGAACUCUCAUUUUGAGUUUUGGUAACCUUCUUCUCUCUUCCUUUCUCUGUGUCCUCAACUCUCUGAUCUCCAGGCUCUCAGACAUUUAUUCUUUCUGUUAACAUUCUUCUCUUUCUCUUUCUAAAUUUUGUCUCCGUCAAUGGAUUGAUGUGCGCAAAUUUAAUUCAAACAUAUAGUACUAAUUAAAAUAGCGGAAUUGCAAAAUGAAGCAAACAGAUGAUAAAACAAAGAAAGAUUAAUAAACUUAGCCAAGAAGAAUAAUAUGAGUAAGUAGCGUUAUAGCUUCAUUUAUUGGGGAAUAUGUUACACGCACAUCCUUUUUGAUCAAGUACUUCUCUCAUCCUUUUUGAUCACUUGAUUAACAAUUUAGUUCAAGUAAAUGGCCAAGAAGGACAAGAGUGAAGCUCCAACCAGAGAUCCAACGGCGUUCAUGCUACUUCCAUUAGGUGCUGGAGUAGAAGCUACAGGGCCAGCUGUGGCUGCAGCGGCGGGGGUGGCUGCAGCGGUGGUGGCUGCAGUGGGGGUGGCUGCAGAGGUGGUGGCUGCAGCGCCCUUUACAGGUGCAGCAGCCAUUGCUGCGCUGAUGCAGACGGCAACUACGAGGACAACCAAGGCAAUCUUCUUCAUGGCCAUUUUGCGAGCGGCGUGUGGUCGGUCAAUGAAUCGAAAACACACCUUGCAAUAGGAAUGUUAAGAGGCUCGUAGAAGUUUGUAGCUGUCCUGAGGAAUAUAGGAGGGCAGUGGGAGGUAUAUAUAGCUUUCUAUGGAGGAGGAUUUUGUUAUUUUUGGGAUGAAAUCUGUUGGAUGUUGUUUGAGGUUUGGAAGGGUUAGUACGUACGUGUAUGGUUUUGCAUGAACAACGCCUACGUGCAUGGGUAUAACAAACUAACAAAUUAAUUAAGUAAUAAAUACCAAGAAUAUAGGAGGAUAUGACCAAUAUUUAUACGUAUUUUGUACCAUUGUAUGUGAAGGUAAUACCAUGCAUAAUUACAGACUGAAAAAUGCGAGAAAUGCCACGUUUUUGUAGUACAUUUAUAUAUGUCCCAUCUAAUGUGUGGCCAAUGAUUAUCUAAUACUUAAAUUCGUCAACAAGAAUUACAUUCAAAUUGAAUCGACCUAAUGUGAAUCCGUUGAUAAUCAAAUUAUCGAAUUCAUAACAUUUUAUAGAUCAUCAACCUUAAUUUAUCAAAUUGAGAACUAUUAAGCAUCAAAUUCGUAUAAUUUAUUGUGGGAUUCUCUUAAGACCUAAACAAAUUAAAUCCUUAAUAGUAUGUGCUUUAUUUUCUUGAAAUGUUGGUAUAGUUCUAAAUACAGAAGAAAACUAGUAGUCUUUUUUGAAGAAAAACUUGGAUAAGGAUAUCCAAUCACAUAUAUCAUUCGUAAAAUAUUUAUGUCAAACAUCAAAUUAUUGUAUUAAAAUUUCACUCGACCUCACAAGAUUUCACUCAGUGUGAGCUCUACCAAAUAUUUACUCCUAUCUUUAGCGGUGAAUCAAGAAAUCUUUCAUGUGAAAACAAAACAUUUUCCUUCAUUGAUCUUUUCUUUGGUAAAGCAUCAUUUUUGAAGUUUCUUUACUCAACGGUCUAGAUAUUGCCACCCUAUACAACAAAGACAACAACCGACCAAUAGAGCCGUUAUGGGGACCACAAAAGGAACAAAAGGCUGACACGUCACCUUCCAAUCGUGGGGCCACAGGACAUAACGGGAGAGUAACGUUACCAUCCUCGUACUCAUAUUUUUGUUUGAAAAGUUUCAAAGUUUAAUUACAAAUAAUUAAAAUUAAAACGGUCUAUAAAUACAUGUCCCUCAGUCCCUCACCUUAUUCACUCAGCCUUGAACCCAGACGGACACACACACUCUCUCUCUCUCUCUCUCCCUCUCUCCCUCCCUCCCUCGCAGUUCGCUCAAUCCAUUCUUUGUUCCUCUCUCUAGAAAUGGCGCAAGUUAGCAUCUGCAAAGCUGUGUUCGUGAUGGUAAUCGCCAUUGUGCUCGUCUCAGUUACAGCUCAGGAUAGCGCGCCAGCACCAUCACCUGCAUUGGACGCUGGAGCCGGAGUUCCAGUGACCAUUUCCGGCGCUUUUGUUUACUCUUCGUUGCUCCUCUCUUUCUUUGCGCUGCUGCGGCAUUAGGGAGAUUUGAGACUGAGAUUGCUAUUUGAUUAUUGUGGUAUUUUCUGUAUCCUUUUGGAGAGUGGAUUUCAUCAUUUGUUAUUGUAUAUCGCUUCAUCCCAAUAUAUAAUACAGUACUGGUCUGAAUGUGCUAUUUUUGGCCUUCAAAUUUGCAUUUCUAGCGCCAACGGCCGCAGUGUAGCGGCCAUGGCCAUCUCUUUGGCCCGAUCUGACAGCGUAUACAAGCCUCAAAAAGUUGAUUGGUAUUUUGAUUAACCACUUGAAAACAAUGUUCUACCAAUUAAUUUGAAGUUCAGAAGCUAACUUAGACGCAAUGCCUACUUUACAUUUGACAUGCCUACUCACAAGUUCAUAACCUACGGGCAAGUAACAGCAGAACUUGCAGCCGAAGUCCACUCGAGAAUGUUAAAAUCUACCAUCCUAAAGUAUUCAUAUUCUAACAAUGGCAAUGGUGUCGUGUAGGGGAAUUCUUACUUGAAUUUCCCGUUGUGUAGACCAAUAGCAAUUCUAACUUCUUGUUGAUCUCAAAUAUUUCGGAUCUUUCUGAUCCCCUACAAGUUUAGAAUCGCCAUUGGUCUCGACAACAAGAAAUUCCACUACAUCGCUACCACACUGUAUAUAUGGCUACCACACUGUAGCCAGUAUACAAGAAUCUCCUACACAGCCUUUGCCAUUGUUAGAGCUCAACCAAGAAUCAGUACAAAUAUUUCGGCUUUUGUUGAUCCUCUUAACUCAUCAUCCAGCAAUAACUAAUCCUUGAAGGUGGGUUGUCGAAAAAAACAACCACCAACAUCCAUAUCUUGUUGAAUGAUUUCUAUGUUCUAUAACCAAUAACUUUGGCCAAGUAUUUCUAGAGUUUCAAGUUCGGGUUGGACCUAAAUAACUUCCUAAUGGCGGGUGGUGCCCAGCCUCCAUAGUACAGAGUGCGGGAAGCUAAACCUUAGACAUUUAGAGGGUAGGAAGUUAGGUUCUAAAUAUGCACACUAACAAAUUCUGAGAAGUAGCUUAGUGUGUAAUCCAGACUAUCUAUGCUCAAACAAUUCAUACUAAUACAACACAACAAAUGCUUCAAAGAAACCAAAAUGUAUGCCACGACAACAAACUGUCCAGACAAUUCAUAACAAAUCAGCGAUCCGUGUUGCUAAAAGAUCUUGAAUGUAGCACAAAGGAGAAGAAAUCACAUUCAUCUCUCUGUUCUCAACAAUAUGAAACAUCUCGAAUUCAAAUUCACAAAGUUAUCAGAUUCGUACAACUCCUGCCAAGAAUUUCAAUUUCGACGUGCCGCCAUUCCCAAUUAAUGGCAUUAUUGAAUUGAAGAACUAAAGAAUUCAACACUGAAAUUAUAUCACUACAACAAGAAAAUUCGAAACUUUAAAGCCUCAGAUUUCCAAAAAUUCAACUCUUUUCCUAAGCAUCAAUGCCUAUUCCCUCACCUAAAGAUCAAUCCUUUUGAAUCAAUCAUCCAACUAUGAACUAUCCAAGUGUAACCCAUUUCUGCAAUCAUGUAUACUAUACUAUCAAAAUCGAAAUAUAACCGAAAAAAGAUACAAAAUUUAACUCAUACCCAUCAACUACUCGCUCUUAGCAUCUUUACCAUCUUUACCAUCUUCACCGGCACCGGCACCGGCCUCCUCCAGCUUCUUCUUAUUCUUCUCAAUCGCGGCGGCGACUUCACCCGGCAUGUACUUCUCGUCAUGCUUGGCCAAAACCUCGGUGGCGGCGAAAUAGCACUCGCCGGUCCUCGCCUUCUCCGAUAUGCUUUUCGUCGAAAUCUCCUUCCGAAUUUCAUCCGUGAAAGGCUUCACAAAUCCCUCCACCACCACCGAGUGACCCUCCCGGAACAAAUCGGGCAAUGAUCCCUUGUACCGGACCAAGAUAUCGGUCAUCAAAUCGGUGACGACGAACUCCAUCUCCGGCGAGGAGGACGGCUGGACGACGCUGCCUUCGAGGACCAGGCCGCCGACCCGGAACUUGCUCUUGCUUGGGUUUGUGGAGUACUUCUCGAUUGCGUCGGUUGGCGUGACGUAGAAGACGAGCUGGUCUUGGAAGCUGUUGAGGACAAUGACAAUGAAUCCGGCGAUGCAGCUGAAGGUCAGAGCGUAGGUCCAGAGUCGGCGGGUUUGGAGCUGGCGGGCGCGGGCACCGAUGUCGACGGGUUUGGGGCGGGUUGGGCCGCGGCGGGCGGUGGAGAAGAAACGGAGGGUGAAGGGAAGAUGGGGAUUUGAUGGAGGGUGGAGAUGAGGGUUGGAGAGUCGGGUGAAGAUGGACGGUGGAUAUUUGAUGGGGUGGUGGUGGAUCGGGGUUGUGGCGCGGAGGAGGUGGGAUUUGAGGCGGAGGGCGAUGCGAGUGGCCAUUUGGAAUUCGCUUUUUUAGUUUUCUCGAGAAAGUGAUGAAAAAUUAGGUGGGAAAGUGAGGGCGGUCGUCUGGGGUUUAGAGAGGUAGAAGAAGCAGCUUCGAUCUUCAACUACGGCGGCGUAGAGGGGUUUUCAAUGUUUUAACAUGAAGGGAAUUUGGAAAAUUUAAUUAGAAAGGUUAUUUCGAAAGUUUAUUACUUUCCGCAAAACUUUUUUAUUUUAUUUAAACUACCUAUUAAUAAAGAGUGUUGUUAUGUUAAUAUAGCUAGUUAACUUAAAUCUUGUUCGAAAUUAUUUUUAAAAUGAUUAAACGUGUUUUUAAAUUCUAAAAACACUUGAAACGUGUUUUAGAAAAAGCAUAUUGUAGGAAGCAUUUAAAGUACUUUUUAUUAGAAUUAGUUAUAAAAUUACUUUCUUCAAAAACACUUUUAAUUAUUUUAAAAAUACUUUCAACCAAAAACACAUCUUGUUAAACCAUUUUUAAGUGUAAUUACAUUAAAAGUCCAGAAUUGCGUGGAGCCACACGGUUGAAGACUUGUGGAAAAACGAGGUUGUCAAUUUGGAAUCUCUAUUGUUGAACAAAGUUGAUCGAGCAUUUUAAUUUUCAACUUUUUAAACGGGAAGGCAUAAGACAAAUUAAUUCUCAACUUAGGACUGUAGAUUUAAAAUAUUUUGAUUGAGUUAUAAAUUCGUGGAUUUAAAUUGAUUUUUAAAGACUCUUAUGUGAAUUUCAAAGUGAAAUUUAAUAGAAUUUGUGAGACUUUAAUCGGAAAUAUUAAUGAAUUAGAUGAAUUCUCAUGAAUUUUAAUCUGAAUGAGGAUCCUCUUUGGAUGGAUCCCGAGAAUCCUCCAAUUGCGUUUGUUUAUCAUACAUAGUGCGUUUAAUUUUCAUUAGGUACUGUUUAUAUUUAAUUUUAAAUAAAAAAAUCUACAAUGAUUUCUAACCGCACGAUAUACGAUGAAAUGACGUAAUUGGAGGAUUCCCGGGAUCCUCACUAAGAGAAUCCAUCAAGGAUUCUCAUUCUACCCCUAAAGGCAUCUAAUUGUAAUUUUUUGCUACAUUAUAAAUAGUCAAUACACAUUUUUUUGCUAUUGUUUGGUUAGUAACGGAAAAUUUUUAGUUGUGACAGGAACACGGAUGGUACACCACGUGUUUGUAUAUAAGUGGUGAAAAAUUUUAAUUUUUAAGUUAUUAACGUUUUAACACACAUAUCCAACAAUUUACAUAGAGACACGUGGUGUAUCGACUUGUGUGAUGGUCACACUGAAAAAUCUCUCGUCCGUAACCCUGUUUUUUUAUCUUUUGAUUUUCUUCCACUGCUCUUCAUACACUUGUCAUGAGUUUCCAUAUCUCGUCCACCACCCUCUCUCUCCAGUUUAUCAUUCAAAAUCAAAGGCAUAAACCAAUAUGCUUAAUGACAUGUACAGCCAUUUUCAAACUCAGAGGUGAAAAACCAUGGUUUUGUGUGUUAGUAGUUAAAUGAUUGGAGGGAUAAGCAAACUGCUUGAUUGCUCAAUUAGGUUGGAAGACUUGUAUUCAGUUGUGGCUAAAUGAAAAAACUGAGCUGAGGAAAGCUCUAUGAGUCAUUGAAAUGACAGCAUGACGGCCUUUGAUCUAUCAAUAGAAGGAGCAAAAGACGGGUUUUGCUUUCCUUUACCAUAUGAAGAAAUAAAGAAAUAAGAGUCCAAGUUUGUUGGUUCGGUUUUGGCUCAUUCUUUAAUAUGUUGUAUCUUGCCAUGUUUGAUCCGUCUGUUGGUAUAACAUAUAUGUCUUCUCUAAUAAUAGCCAAUCAAGAAGCCAAAGCUAGAGCCAACCCAGCACAUCGGGCGAUGAAUCCCUUAGCUGAACAUAAAGAUGAAGAAAUAGGGAGACUGGAGAGAUAAAUUCUGCGUUGGUGGAGGUAAUCAUUGUCAUGUGGUGGUGGACCAUAGAAACGCGACGAUAAAAAUGGUGGUGGACGUGGUUGAUAUGGUACGGAGAAGGAGAGAAAAAGAAAGAAAUACAAAUCCAUCAAAAUGAUUUGUUAUGGCUUAAUUUACACUAUGAAAUUCUAUUUACUCCUUCAAAAUCCAAAAUCCUUCAAAAUCAAUGAUUUUUUAAUACAUAUGGACUUUUUACAAAUUCAUUUGAAAUCCUUAUUGAACACACUAGAAUUUCUAUUAAUUUUUAUUAACUCCUUUAAAAUUCUAAUUAUAUACCCUAAUUUUUGAAAAACUCAUUUAACAUAUAUGUUGAGUCUAAUUAUUCUUAAACUUCUUUCAAAUCUAAAUUGCAUACACUACCUUAGUUUCCUCCAGUAUCCCAAAAUUUUCAAAAGAAUCAAUUAAAAUAAGAAUUUUCUGCCUUAACCUUAUCAAACUCUUACAUUUUCUCGUAGAAAAAAUAAAUUCCCACCUUGAUUUUCGCCAAUUGUAAAAAUCUAACUAGCUUUUCACUCAUAAGAAGUAACAUUUCAUGCCAAUUAUCAUACUCAUGAAAGAAGAAUGAUAAAUAAGUUCACUCAUUUUAUGUGAUAAAUAAAUUCAAUCUGUAACCAAUCUAAUGUUCAUACCUUGCUGUUGAAGAAUAUGUUUAAUUUUCCUUUUCCAAUAGAUUUCCAUACUAUAAAAAACUCCCAUGAUCUGGUUAAGUGUCUCUCUAGGCUCUAUCCACGAACCAUUGAAUAAUUUUAUUUAUUAUUUUAUCAUCAAGAUAACUUCAUUAAAGAUGGGAAAUUUUGGAAACCGGCAACCGCGUCACGUGUUCGUGCAGGCGCAGACACAAAAAAACAUCUCUAAUUCCAUCCCUUGGUUUGCCACGCUAUCUCUGAUCCAUUGUUUGGUUUCACCUCCAUCUCACACAAUACCCCUUAUCCGGCACCCGUACAGAAGACCUUCUUCGAAGAGGGAGGCCAGCUACGACAAGGGGGAUCCGAAUUUGAGGACAUAGAGUGGAACACAAUUCUUUCUAGCCAACUGGACUAAGAUCCGGUCAUGUAUGUGGAAGUCCAAACCCUAGGGUUGGUAAUAUAGAAGCCAUCUUAUAUUAUUUUCCACUCUAAAAGGUUACUUUGUUUGGAAAGUGGGAUGAAGGUAAUAUUCCACGACAAUUAACUCGACUUAAAUACGUAAAUCUCAUGCACGAUCGUAUCAUCGUGGGCGGCCUAGACAUAAUUAAACCACAAAGUAAUUAACAUACAUUUAUCUCUUACAUUAAGUGGCGUACACACAUUGGGAUCAAGAUAGUCCCAUGGAAUUCAAGAAAUAUACAUGUGAAGGUCUUUUGAGAAUCCUUUAAUUGAUUGGUAGGCGUUUUUUUAUGCCCAUCAAAUGUUUAAUGUAAUGUCUACUAGACAUAUAUCAGCCGUGUUAGAAUGUGAGCAUGAGUAUGAAUUUGUGGAUUAAGUUAUUUGAUUCAAGUUUGGAUAGGAAGUCUUAUUGAGAAUGGAUUUUUUAAUACUUAUUAACAAAUUCUCUUGAUAGCAGCAUAUGUUAAUACUUAUUGACAUGUGCGCAACAUGUUUUUGAUCAUGAUAACAAACUCACCAAAUAUUCGACGAAUGUCUCAUUGAAUAAAUUAGAAUUUUUUAGCGCACUUCUCAAUUCGUUUCUUUUAAAAAUUUAAGACCCUUUGAUACUGAGACCCCCACUGUGCGAAUUCUGGAUCUGCCAGUAUACAGUAUCUCAUGAUCGUGAAUAAAAAAAUAGCACCAUGAAGGCAUGAAAUGCCUCGCAAUAUUAAAAACUUUAUCUUUGUUCAAUCUUGCGUCAUCCAUGAUUCCAUGCACACGAUCAGCCACCAGAAAAAUAUUACCAAUAUUGAAAACUUUCACUCCCCAAAAUUUCUAAAUGCCUAAGGUUAAAUUAAACAAUGGAUUAAGAGACCCAAAAAGUGGAGAUAUACAAGACCGGCUUUGAGACUUUGAGAGUCCUAGUCGAACCUUCGAAGUGAGCUCUAGAAUUCUUUGAUCUCCGUUAUGUAUAAAAAAAAGUUACACGGAAAGAAAAUGUCUAUUUCUAUAUUAAAUAUCAUUAAACAUUAGAGAAUUGUUAUUAGCACUCCAAAAAUCUCAUUUACCACUCCAAUCUUUCUAUAAUUAGAAAGAAAAUUCCACUUGUAAGGAAUGUAGAAUGAGAUUUUUGGAGUACUAAUAAUAGUUUUAAAAAUUAAUAUCAAAAGAAGAAAGAUAUCUCAAGUCCCAACAUUACUUAAAUAUUCCACGUAUCGCGUUUUGAGACACAAAUGUACUAAAUAAGAAAGAUAUCCCAAGUCCCAACAUUACUUAAAUAUUCCACGUAUCGCGUUUUGAGACACAAAUGUACUAAAUAAGUUUACAUAAUCAAAAUUUUCAACCAAUUUCUUUUUUCAAUUAACAAAAUAUCUGACCCAUUCAAUCUACAAAUAGAUGAUGACAUUGAUAAUCUUGGGGUGUUUUUAUAGUUCCAAUUCAACAAAUUUUUUUUCCAGUAACAUGGAAGAAGAAAGAGAAAUAUUAAGGAACAAUUAAUCUAGCUGUGGCGACUCCAGAGCAGUCAUUGGAAAAAGUUUGAACUAAAUAAAGAGGAGACUCCGCAAGCUCUUGAAACUCCAUCUUGCUAUAUAAACCCAAUUAGGCUAGCCCGUCAAUUGCAAAAUUACGUUAUUUAUGAACUUGCUACACAUUAUGACUCCAUUUCUCUAUGAUCAAACUUCUACAUUCCGAAACAUGACUAUAGAGAGGAUGAUUAUUAAGGCUAGGAGAACCAUGAAUGAGAGAGACCACCAAAGAAUAAUCGGCCUCUACAAUAAGAUGAAAGAAAUUUCUAGCUUUAGUUGUCUUCAACUCAUAAAACAAAGCCCAAAGCUCACCAUGGAGAACUUCCCCAACUCCUUUUUUAGCAAUAAAACCAGUGAUCCUCCACUUCCAAUCACUCUCUUUUUAGCAAUAAAACCAGUGAUCCUCCACUUCCAAUCACCCCGUUAGAACCAAGCCUAGCACCAUCCACAUUUAACUUAAAGGUCACAAACGAACGAGGAACCCAAGCCAAGAGAACUUGCACAUGGUCAUGUUUAUUAAAGAAUUUGAUGUGCAAAACAGUAAAACCCUAAAAUCGAAUCCAUAAACCCCUAAAAGAUUGAAUCUUUAAAUCCCUAAAAUCUUUCAAAUCCUAAAUCCCUAGAGUAAUCCAUAAAACCUUAAGAUUGAAUAUGUAAACCCCUAAAAUCUUUCAAAUCCUAAAUCCUUAGAGGGAGCAUGGAUUCGAAAAUCCCAACUCCAUUCACAAGCAAGCUUACAAAUUAAAUUACAGAAAAAACAGAAGAGGACAGAGAAGCUAGAGAAGAGAAGGAAUCACCUGACCUAUAAGUUGAGAAUAAUAUCACCUCGCCGGGCUCACCUACUAGUCACCACCAAGUCGGACCAAUUAGACCGAAAGAGGAGUUGCUAGACUCACUACCUAGUACUCCAAAUUUCAAUCAUAUUCUAUUGUUUAGUUACAAAGUUACUUAUUACGUUCAGUAAAUGAAUGAAUGGUUAGGUUACAGAAACUACAUCUGACAAUUGGGGAAAAUAUUAAAGUAGGGAUACAUACGGGUGAGAGAAAAUAAAAAAAUGUAAAUUAUUUUCUAGAAAAUUAUAUUAUUGCCUAUAAUUAUAUAUAUAUAUAUAUAUAUAUAUAUAUAUAUAUAUAUAUAUAAUGGGGGGUCUUUGUUGGGGGAGAGCUAUGCGGGCCUACUUCGGCUACCCUUAAGGACGCCCUUGGAGAAAUACGUGAGGUCAAAAUGGAAUUCUGAAAAUCAUUUCCCUUAAGAUAUAUUGUUUACGGUAAUCCUAAAAAGUUAUUUUGAACUUAAGGUAUAUCUUUUAAUCUUUAGAAAGGAUAAAGUCAAAUUACGAUUAUUUUGCACUAAAUACCUAAAUCUUGAACAUCGUACGGCCUUUUACAAUAGACAGAUACUAAUAUAUUCAACUCAUAAGAGGAGUUGCUAGACUCACUACCUAGUACUCCAAAUUUCAAUCAUAUUCUAUUGUUUAGUUACAAAGUUACUUAUUACGUUCAGUAAAUGAAUGAAUGGUUAGGUUACAGAAACUACAUCUGACAAUUGGGGAAAAUAUUAAAGUAGGGAUACAUACGGGUGAGAGAAAAUAAAAAAAUGUAAAUUAUUUUCUAGAAAAUUAUAUUAUUGCCUAUAAUUAUAUAUAUAUAUAUAUAUAUAUAUAUAUAUAUAUAUAUAUAUAUAUAUAUAUAUAUGGGGGGUCUUUGUUGGGGGAGAGCUAUGCGGGCCUACUUCGGCUACCCUUAAGGACGCCCUUGGAGAAAUACGUGAGGUCAAAAUGGAAUUCUGAAAAUCAUUUCCCUUAAGAUAUAUUGUUUACGGUAAUCCUAAAAAGUUAUUUUGAACUUAAGGUAUAUCUUUUAAUCUUUAGAAAGGAUAAAGUCAAAUUACGAUUAUUUUGCACUAAAUACCUAAAUCUUGAACAUCGUACGGCCUUUUACAAUAGACAGAUACUAAUAUAUUCAACUCAUAAGAAUCAUAAAUUUUCAGUGGACCGAAAAAUUAGAGUGUGAUACCAAUAUAUUGAACUCAUGUGUGUGAUAUAUUACACUCAUGAGUGUGAUAUAUUACACUCAUGAGUGUGAUAUCAACUCUUUAACUCACACUAGUAUCUCACUAGUGUUAUAAGUAUCAAACUUAGGUCGCUUGAUUCAUAUAGAUAGGUAUCAUACUUACUUAAACUACUGUGGAAGGCCUAAGAUGAGUUAAGAAAUAAGACAAAUGGGUGCGAAUGGUAACACUCUCACAAAAAGAACAAAUAUGGUUCAAAUCCUUCUCACUUGUCUUAGUGUAGCUUAAAUACAAAAUAUCACGUUAAUUCGAAACAAAACAUAUAAGUAAUAUUCUAGUCUAAUUUGUGUAUACUCGUGUAGAGGAGCACAUUGACUCUGAUUAAUAUGACCACACUCACACCUGCAUAAGAGAAAAGAAUCGAACUCGGUGCAUACAAAAUGAUCCUAAAAAGAGUGUGGUUAACAUGACUCUAAUUAAUGUAAAUGCUGUAUCCUAAAAUUAGAUUAUUUAGAUUUACAAACAUAAAACAAUCACAAAAGAGUGGUUAUUCUCACUCAACUAUUAAUUAAAAAUAUCACUUAGUACUACAGUCUAGUGAUAUUCCUCUUCAUUUGUAAGCAAGGUUUUAAAAGACACUAGGCGCUAGUUAGGCGGUGGGUUGGGGCCUAGCGCCUAGGCGGCUAAGCGGGUACCUAGGAGGACUAAAAUGAUUUAAUUAAAUCUAUUAUAUUUCGUGUAAAUAAGUGUGUUUAUACUUAAAAUAUAUAUAAUUUCAUCAUAAACUACAAAAUGGUGAAAAUCCAAUUAGUCAAAAUACUUUAAUAUAUAUAUAUAUAUAUAGGUAAUGUAAGAAUUUUAAGUACAUAACUUGAAAAAAAAAAAAAAAUAUAUAUAUAUAUAUAUAUAUAUAUAUAUAUAUAUUUGUUUAAUAGUGAAGUAGGUAACUUUUUUUAAUAUAAUUAAUAAGCCUAGUACUAAUGGUGGAAAUCCAUCUGACAUAGGGGAGUGGCUUUUGCGGCCUUGGAAAUCGACAAUGCCUUUAUUUUGGGGUUUCUCGUUUCCUCUCCCUUCCAUUCUUCAUCGAUUGCUCUGCCUGAUUUCCUAUCUUCUUCGCCUAAUUUCCAUCUUCUUGCUCUGUAUAAUUUUCCAAAACCUAACCAUGAGUCCAUUCUAAUUCCUCAAGUACAGUGAAGAAAUCAUCUCCGAAGAAGAAAUCUAAAGCUUCUAGGUCAAAGUUCUCGUUUUUUUUUUCCUGCAAUUGCAUUGUUAUUCUGAUUCAUUUUACAAAUCUCUCUCAAGCUCACUCUUCCCUCACGCUCUCUCGGUUUCUCUUUUCAAAUUUUAUGUUGUCACCCUCGCGGUGUAGUGAAACGGUGAAACAUAUAAUAUUUUAAUAGAACCACCACAGAGGCCGCUUAGCCUGGCGCUUAGGCCGCCUAGGCACCGCCUAAUACCCUUGCCGAUUUACUGAAAUUUUUUGAAAUAAUCGCAAGGGCAACCCAACUCCCAAUGACUAGGCGGCCGCCCAGACCGUGUUUUAGAAGAUUGUUUGUAAGUGAGAGGUCUUAGGUUCGAUUCUCACUAAAGGCAAAUUUGAACCAUAUUAUUGGCAUUGCUAGUCCAUUGCGAGAUUUAACCCACUCCCCUACCCUUCUAGUAUAGAUAGUAUCGUUUACUCAAAAACUAUUAAUUAAAAAUGUUCGUGACAAAUGAAUAGAAGAUGAGUAAAGAAAUAAGACAAAUGAGUGCAAAUAGUAACAUUCUGACAAAACAGAACAACACAGGUUCAAAUCCUUCUCAUUUGUUUUAGUGUAGCUUAAUAUAGAAUAUCACGUCAAUUCGAAACAAAAGGUAUAAGUACUAUUCUACACUAAAUUAUGAAUACUCGUAUAGAAUAGCAUAUCGACUCUAAUCAAUAUGAUUAUACCCACAUCUGCAUAAGAGAAAAGAAUCCAAACUCGGUGGAUAAGAAACACAAAUUUCUUCUUUAGGGAUAGGUAAUCUAGGUAUUGAUUCUGGCGUGAAGCGCUUUACAAUACUAGCCAAGGGCACUAACCCUUAAAAUAUAGGAAUUAGCACUUCCAAUGAAGUACGGAUUGGAUGAUAAUAUACUACAAGCCAAAGUUAGGUAUAGACUACCAAAGUAGAGAAAGAAACUCAAUUGUUCUGAUCUAUUCUCUCGUCUCUACGAAACGUCUCUUUCCUCCACUAUGCAAAAUUGAAAAUUCCCUCUCUUUCCUCUCUCUCCUCUCUCUCUCUCUCUCUCUCUCUCUCUCUCUCUCUCUCUCUCUCUCUCUCUCUCUAUAUAUAUAUAUAAACCAUUUCAGCUCCACUGUUUUUCAUUUUACGCUCAAUUCAGUCAUAAUUUCGUCGAACUCUUUUCAACCCAAAAUUCUUGGAGCUUUUUUGGUCAAAGCUCCUCCAUGGUUUCUCAGGUUUUGGUGGCUCUCGCGCUGUCACUCGUGGGUGGACUCAGUACUUCAUUCGGUGAGUACAUAAAAACUCGUGCUUGUUCAUGCUCUGCUAAAAUUUCAACUGCCCAUUUCAUCAAUUUCAAAUUUGAAUUACCCCAUUUGUUUGAAUUUUGUUGUUCUUGUUUCGUUCGUCUAGAAUGGUUUUCCAAAUUGGCUUCUGGGUUUAUAUUACUUUCAGGUUUUGAGGUUGAACAGCAAGCUUUGUGGCAGGAAAAUCUAAUGAAAUCUUUUGGGGAAGGGUGGGAUUGUUUAUAGGCUUCAACAUAUAUAUAUUUCUAUUUUAGAAUCCACUAAAAUCCACAAUUUAAUGAAAUCCCAUGAGCUCUAUAACUUUUUUACUACACCUAGAUUUGUGUACACUUGCUUAAAAUCCAUUAAAAUGCUAAUUGACUGUAUACGGAUUACAUGGACGUUGAGAAUGUCUUUUAAAAUCCUGAUUGACUACCCUAGGAUUUUAAGUUCCUAAUUUGACUACACCCCCUUGAAAUCUUUUGAUAGAAGUGUGAUAUUGAAUGCAUUGUUGAGGUUGCUAAAUCAGCUUAUUAUAUUUUUGAUACCGGCGAAUUGACUCCAUCGAGUUGUUGUGGAAUUGAGGUUUAACUCCAUCGAGUUGUUGUGGAAUUGAGGUUUAAUGGUAUAAUUUAUGAUACUAGAAUUGAUAGGAUAGACAAAACUAUCGAAAUGCAGCUCAAUUUACUAUAUUUUUCUAAAAAGGUUUGAUUUUGUAGAGCAAUUUGACUCCAUCAAGUUGUUGUGAAAUUGAAGAAAUUGAAUUUUAAGGGUGUAAUUGGUGAUAAUGAAAGUGCUAGGAUUUGUUCCCAUUGUUUUGUAGGCAAGUUCUUGGUAUUGGUCAUGGUUCGAAAAAGGAUUUUGAUUUAUGGUGGAAUUUCUUAAUUUAUCAUGUUCACCUCGAUGCUUAGUUGAUCAGCUUAUGUUAUCGAGCCUAAUUAUAAGUCUUGGAAUGUGGAACAGGUGCACUUUUAGUAAUUGUCAAUGAGACUCCGAAUUUGAAGAUGCUUGGGCUUUUACAGGUACUCUGAUUUAUUCUCAAAUUUUGAAUUUUUUUCUUUCUUUCUGUCCACUAAUGUCAUUGUUUUCUUUCUUUUAAAGAAUCAAUCAUCCUAUUGACUUAAUUGCUUACAUGUCCUUCUCUCUCCCAGCCGAUAUUUACAUGUCACCGUUUUUACUCAACCAGAAAUUUAACUUAACAAAAUCCGUCUUGACAUUGAUGCCAUUUUCGUGAUCCUUUUGAAUUGAUGUUAUCGUCAGGGUAUGCUUGAGGCAUCAUGAUCCAUCUAAACCUCUGAAUGUUCUCUAUGCAGGGUUUUGCUGCAGGUUUGAUGCUAAGCAUAUCAUUCCUAGAUUUGGCUCACAAUGCUAUCAACUCAAUUGGUUUUUUAAAAGGCAAUCUAUGGGUAAGCCAUGUACUUCAAUGUUCAUUUGAUUUAAUAGUGGAGCCAGGAAGUUCUUAAUGGGUAGGCUGCUAUUUAUUUAUUUGGUUGGAUCCAGUAAAUAAAGGUAUAUUUUCUGCAACAGCUACUAGGGCUAUACCUCAUGGUAGCCACCCCUGGCUUCGCCCUCGAAUUCUGAUUCACUCUGAUUUGAAUGCAUCACUUUUGUGACAUGCAUUGUCCCGAUUUCUCUAAGAAUUAGAUUACAAUUUCUUGGUGGUACAGUUUUUUGGAGGUGUCAUAUUCUUUGCUUUCAUUGCCAAUUUUAUUCCAGAACCAACUCUUGCUCCUAUUUCAAAGGUAGUGAUUAUCUCUUCUCCUCCUACUUUAGCAUGUUGUGGAUACUUUAACAUAUGACUGGGGAUAACACUUUCACCCAGAAUAUUGAAGGCAUGUCUGACCGUGUGACAAUAUACUUAACAACAGAAAGAUGAAGGGGGCAAGGACACUUUGAAAAAGCAGCGCCGACAAGUUUUAUUCAGUGGGAUAGUAACAGCAAUAGGUAUUACUACGCUUAAAUCACUUUCCAUACAGUUCUUCGAAUCAGAAACUGAAAUUAAAUCUUCAUUUAUCUGUAGAAUUGGAAAUAUUAGUUAGUUUUUGCAUCUUUGUAGUCUAAAAGUGUGCAUGAUAAAUCAAAUUUGUGGUCCUCAGUUCUGUAAUUAGCAAAGCAUAUUUAUGUCUUUGCGUGCACACAAGAAGAAUAAAACCCACCCCUCUGCCAUUCCACCCACAUCCCAACCUACCCAAGGCCUAAGGGUGUUUUAUGUCAUAUGCAAAAUUUGAAAGUCUUAGUUUCUGGAGUUUUUUUUUUCCUUCCCAAGUAAUAAAGUCUGAGCAAAUGUUUUUGAGAAUUAUAUUUGAUUUGUAUACUAUAUUCCUUCUGAAGUGGAAUAUCCGUUCAAUUGACUUGCAGGCAUAAGUUUACACAACCUUCCAGAAGGAAUGGCCGUGUUUCUUGGAUCAAUGAAGGUAACUCAAGCUUAAGCUUUUAAUGACUUGGAUUUGGAGUAUUGAGUUAACUCUAGUUUGGAUUAUAUAUAUGGAGUCAUGCUCAUUUUAUUUUGAGUUAUAUGUUCUGUAUUUGAUUUAAUAUAAACUUAUAAAUUAUGUCUUCAUCAAUGAUCAGAGUUUCUUUAAUUCAUGAUGUGAAAUAUUAAUGCAAUUUUCUUUUUAUUUUAAAAGACGUUGAAAAUCGAGUGUGAGGUUUCUAUGACCACUAAAUCAUUUGUUGUCAACAUCUAUACUAACUAUUUGGUAUUCUUCAUGACCUAAAUCAGAUCUAUCAUUAUGUAAGAUUCCAACUAAUUGGUGAAACAUUCUUCUUUUCUUCUUUACAAUGCAUUUUUAGCUUUAUUGUCAACAAAUUAAUAUGCUCCUGGACACUCUGCAGCUGCUAAAAAAUUUAAUGUUUCCUGGAAAUAUGAUGCUUUCUUCUUGAAGCACAAUUUCUGAAGUUGCGGCGUCUAGUUUGGAAUUUUUAAAGCUAGUCUUUUUUGUGUUCUAAAACAAGUCUAAAUUGAUUAGAUGCUUGAUCCUGAUUUAUACGUAUCUUUUUUCAUGGAUUUAUAUGUUAGUUUACAUUGCUACUUAUGUGUGUUCCUUGCACUUACUAUUCUUGCAUGUUUUCUAGUGCAUAUUACUUACAAUUUGCAUAGGCUUUUCAUCUAUGGGAUUGGUGGUUAUAAAUGGAGCAAGAAUAGUUUACUAUCUGUUUGAGAACUAUAAUGUCUGCUGAUGCUAAUUGUCGUAUGCAAUUCUUGCUUGUUCCAUAAUUCAUUGUAGGGCCUUCGUGUUGGUGUGAACUUGGCCUUGGCCAUUGCCUUACACAACAUCCCAGAGGUAUAUUCCCUAUAUCGUGCGUAUUAGUCUAACUGCUCGCACUCUGCCCUGGAUUAAAGUAGCACAUAAUUGUUUGUACCUUCCAAGGUCUCCCACUUUCCAUAUCAACAAUGGCUGGACUGGUGAUUUUGGUAAUAUAAGAACUUAUUCCUUUGCUGAUAAGGAGACGAUCUUUGGAUCCUAUGGAACUAAUGUCGACUGCAAGAAUAGUGCACACAUCUACAGAAAGAAAUUGAAAUAUAAAAAUUGGCAGAUUGCAUUUAACAUUUCACAAACCUAUCAACUGCUUUCUGAGUUUCAAAAUGAAAGACUCAAUAUUCUUUAAAAAUUGUCUUGCCUAUAUAUGUUGGUGAUGAAUGGUAUCAAGCUCUAAUUGUUGUUAAACUUUAGGUCUAUAGAGUGUGUGAUCAAAAUUGUAGACUAUUUGGAAAACAAGGGAUUGCUUUAAAGUUUGAGUUUGGACUUCUAUUGUUGUAGAACUAUUAUUGUUAUAAUGUCACUACAUCUGAUAACUUUCGCUUUUCUAGGGUGUUGCUGUUGCGCUUCCUGUUUAUUUUGCAACACAGAGGUGAGAAUAUAUGAAGGCGUCAUUAGUUCAGCAUUUGAAGUACUUAUGAAUUGUGGGGAAACAACGGAUUUGUUUUUUUUUUCACUGUUAUUUUACAAUGACCAUGAAGUAUCUUUGAGAAGCCCGAAAGCAGACAAUAAUACUUUAGAAAAGGUAAUAGUGGAGGAGUACUGAUGUCAAGGGUAUGGUUACGGUGAAUUCAUUAAACAGAGUGAAGGUAGUUAUGGUGUUGGCCGUGCUGUAGGAUAUCAUUAUUUAGGGUGGUGACAGAGAAGGCAGUGCUGAUGGGUGAGGGAGCGAUGGAAUGAUAGUUCUGCCAUUGUUGUUCAGGAGGAGUGUCAACAAUGUUGGUGUCCAUUUCAGGACAGGACUUUUAAGCCUUGUUCACUUUCUAGAGCAAUUAUUACUUCAUAAGUUUCUGUUAAGCCUGUAUAGCUUGAAAACUUUAUGAAUCUUAUGAUAAGUUAUUAAAUGGUGGGUUUUCUGCAUGUUCCAGCAAAUGGCAGGCAUUCAAGUUGGCAACGCUUUCCGGUUUAGCUGAGCCUUUGGGUGUCGUAAUUGUAGGUAUGUGAACUGUCAAAUAAACCUUUAGAUAUCUUUCUUUUACAAGUCGUAAAAAGAACGGUGGAUUUGGAUUAGGCCCUUGAGUCCUGAAAUUCUUGAAGGAAACUUGUUAAUGGUUUUCACUUCUGCUGCAGCCUAUCUAUUCCCAAGCAGCUUGAGUCCUGAAAUUCUUGAAGGCCUGCUCGGAUCAGGUUUGAAAAUUAAUGAUGAUAUAAAACGUCUCAACCAAAAAACAAAGAAAUAGUUUUUAUGAAAAUUGUAGUUACCACGUAUUUUUGUUGUGGCGCAGUUGGUGGAGUGAUGGCUUUUCUAACUCUCCAUGAGAUGCUGCCCUUGGCGUUUGAUUAUGCGGGGCAAAAGCAAGCCAUCAAGGCCGUGUUUUUGGGAAUGGCCUUCAUGUCUGCAAGGUAAUACUGAUGUUAUAAAUGCAUUUAUAGUGUCGGGGCCUCUUCGAAAGAGGAGAUCUUUAAGGAGAAGUUUUUCAAAUUACUUCGCUGUUUAAUUUAUAUCAAUAUCUAGAACUAUAAGGGUUAGAGCCUCUGAGGGUGUGACAUUAUAAGUCUUAUAUCUCCUUACAGAAUACUUUCCUUUUGCCUGUUUUGCAGCCUUUACUUUCUUGAAAUCAGCCUACCACAGGACAUGAGCUUGUAGCUGUAAUCUACGGGUCUUGUCCAAUGUUAUCCUCGUCUUGUACAACUCGGUACUGCCACGAUAAGUAACUGGUGCUGGAUACCGGUACUGAGUUCAGAUCACCGUUAAUGGAUCAUAUGGUUUCGGCACAAAGAAGAAGGCUUGACUGUGACUGUCCCCGAAGGUAGGAGUUCAUACUCAGCGUAAGAGAAAUGUACAUAUCCUUAAAAGAAAAUUGUAAAAUAGUGUAUGGAACUUGAUUUCGUAAAUAAACUCUACUCCGUUUAAAUGAAAAUUUCAAGUGUCAAAUAGGAUUACAUUGGUUGGUUAUGAUUUGGAAGAUAAUAUAGGAGAGAUUGCCGUGGCACCGGUUGUAUACAACAUAGUGACUAUAACACACAUCACGUGACUUUUACUGGGAUUAGGCAAGAGUUAAAAAGGCCAAUUGCCUCUAUAGUGUAUGAAGCCUGAAUUGAAAAUCCUGUAGUUAGACAAAUUUAUUCUCUGAAUUGCGAGAAAGUUUUGUAUUGAAUGGUUGAAUUACGUGUUUGUGUGGCCCUACCUCGUAAAUCCACUUUGUUAGAUGGAUGCUGCAUGCGGUAGUUAUACACAGGUUGUUCUCCUUAAAUGCUAAAGAACACCGUAUGAACCAAAUUCCCAUCCAACCAUGCCUGGUGUGUGUAUAUACUCCUCCAACAGCAGAUUCCAUGACCCGUUGGUGAAAUGUUUGUUCUUUCGUAGUGCAGGACGUGUGCAAUGCAUUUGAUCGUUUGACAAUGAUUUCUAAUUUGCUAUGCAAACAGGAGGAAAAGACAUGUAAAUCAAAAAAGGCAUGAAAAAAGGAGAGGAGAGAGAAAAGACAACAAAUCAAAGUCAGCAUAAUUGAUAGCUUUUAUAUGCAACAUGGUGUGGCAUGCAAAGCACAACGCUUCGAGUUUUACUAAAAUAAUAGAUUGGCCAGUAAGUGUAAAUUAAGGUCAUCUCCAACCGAAGAGUCGAGAGGGCCGAAAAUAGCAAGAAAAUCGUCUCCAACCGAGGGUUAGGCCAGACGGCUGUGAAAUCUAAGAGGGCCCCACAGAAAAAUUAUACAGCAUAAAAAAAAACAUUUAACAACAUGAAACUUAAACUACAUUUAAGUUGUAGUUUUUAAAUAAUAAAUUAUGUUUGACUCUAUGGCCCUUUGGCCCUCGGUUGGAGACGGUUUUUGUGACAGGGCUAAAACGAGCCCUCUAGCCCUUUGGUCCUUGGUUGGAGACGGUGGCAAAUAUGGUCAUGUACUGUUCAUUAAAAUAUUAAUAUCUUGGAGGGCCAGAGGGCUAAAACGAGCCCUCUGGCCAGCCCUCGGUUGGAGAUGGCCUAAGUGAACGAACGAUGAUGUGGUUAUUAUUUAAUAAUUAAAAUUUUAAAAGUUAAGACUUUUAAUGUAUAUUAUAUUUCCAAUCGUACUAGAAAAAUUUGAAAGAUGAAUGUUAAGAUGACUCUUUUAAAAUUGAAACUUUCUAUAAAUUUUCUUGUCACCGUACAAUUUAACAUUAAUUUAUAUACCAAUAUUAUAUUGAGAAAGUCUCGUAGCAUUUCUCAAUUUGAAAUUGUAACCAACCUAAAGACUUUUAGGAGAUUCCAUAAACCCAUUAUAUUUUUUUCUUGAAAAAAGAAGACAACUGGUGGAAAGUUACGAUUAUCCAUCAAUUUCGUGUGCCAGGAAGAUUUACAGAGGCAUUUUAGCCUCUCUCUAACCACGAGUCUGGCUUUCACACCAGGAGCAAGUUUCGAACCCAAAACCUUUAGUUUUUAAUUUGAAAGAAACCUCGCAAUCCGUCAUUUAUAACUAGGCAUCGUUAACCCAUUAUAGUUUUGAAAUUUGUUGAGUAGUCAAUUGAAAUAAACUUCAAUCUCAUCAUAACAUCCCAUCAAGAAAAUCAUUGUAAUUUCUUGGAAAUGCAAUUUCUUGAACAAAAACAUAUUAUAUGCAUUAUACAAUUGGUCUGCACAAACAUGGGAUUAAAAGCUGUCUAGUCCCAUAUGUAACUGAUCUUGUGCAAAAAGUAAUCUUCUUAUUGGAUUUAUGAAAAGAUAUUAUUAUCCACACACUUCUUUUUACUUAUCACAUAUUUUUUGUUAAUUUUUAUCAUUUGAUUCAAACAACUAAAAAUUGAGAGGUCUGUGUGAAAAAUAAAAAGGAAAACUAAUGAAAAGAGCUUGAAAACUUUGAGUUUUAAUGAUAAGGACAAAAUAAAGGGUAAAUUGAAUAGUACCAGGAUUGACUUUUUAGUGUAAAAAUGUGGUUUUUCGUUAAAGUGAACAGUACUAGAAGUUUUUCGUUAAAGUUCUCAAAAUAAAAAGAAGUAUGUAGAUAUUAGUAUGUGAAAUUGAAGAGAAAAUUGGGGAAAUUAGUGAGAAACUCCACUCAAAGAAAAAGAGAAGAAAAGACUAAAGGUGUUUUAUUAAGGUAAAGGAGAGUGUGGGGAUGGAACCAAAAUCAAGUUUUUGACAAAAGCUUUAUUGGUAAUGGAACAUCAUAUAGAAAUAACCAAAGCUCACUCAUAAAAAAUGUCUUAAAGACAAAUGAACUUGUGUGUCGUUUGUUAGAAUAGAGAAUCUUUUAUGCGCACAACUUUGGUAACGUCUUUUUCAUUUGUUACUGUAAACUGAAAAGUGAAAAAUAAUAAAAAUUCAUAACACCUUAUUGUGAUUGGUAAGAAUCAUGACCAUGUAGUUUUUUGGAUACAUGAGAAAAUAACUCUCUCCUUUGUUAGAAGUUUAUAGUUAUUUAGUGCCUCUUAUUAGAAGUUCUAUUGUUUUUAAUUGAGUCUAAGGUGUUAGGUGCCCUUUAGCAUAAAAAAUGGUGUCAUUUGUCAUGAGAAACCGUUUUUAUAAGCACUUAGUAUUGUCUUUGCCUUCGAAUUCAAAUGGUUGGCUUUUGAUUGAUUUGCAAAAUUGAAGAAAACAAUGGUACUCAAAAGUAAAAGACAAGAAAAUACCAGAAGCUGUUUGAAUCGAUCACCCAGAGGAGGAGGGUAAAUUUAACUAAAUCAAGUUUUUUGUCAAAAGUUUUCAGAUUGCAUAACUUACUUGAUGUGGUUACUACAUCUUGUUUUAAACAUCAAUAGUUUAGUCACUUAAGCAAACGUGAAUGACAGAUGGUAACAUUUAAAUAUUAUACUUAAAGUGGUACAUUUGUAACAUAUGUGUUGAUACUGGACUAUACCCUACAGAGAAACUUUGCUAAAACAUGUGGGAAUUGAAUGUUUAUGGUCAUGACAAGUAAGCAAUAGUUAUGCUUCUGAGUUGGAGGAGGAUCCUUCAGAUGUUCCUAAUGAAUCAUGAAUGGUAAGGUUUCUGUUAAAUUACCCUAAAAAUAGUGCUGCCAUAGCUAGAGUAAUGCUCGGCAUACCAAAUUUAUAAACUGUGUGAUGUGUUACAAAUAGAAAAUAAGCACGUUAAUCAAUGUUUAAAUAAUAAUCCAAUCACCAAUAUCACGUCAUAUGAUUUACAAGAUUUGAUCUGAAGUCUCUCUAGCAUUACCUGCCAUAUAAUUAUAGCCAAUAGUCACGUAUGCUAAGCUAAAUCCAAAUCCUACACAAUGCAUCUGUUGUGUGUGUAGCAAGAAAAAAGCAUUAAAAGUUAAAAACAUUUAGUGUGCAAGUGCAACAACUUUGCUGUUGCUGUCACUGCUCUUUUUAAUCACUUCGACUUUGCUUUUAUGCUUUCUACGUUAUGUCUGUGUCUACAAAGUUUCUUUUAAUUUAAUAGCAGUUUGUCAUAUUUUCUUCUAAUUUUGGCUUCUAUGUAGGCUAAAUUAAUAUAAUGUGCAUGAAUUUAUUUAGUUAAUUUGAGGGAAUUUUUGUCAAAAUGAUCAAAACAACGGCUUAAAUCAUAUAAUUACUUUGUUAAAGAGACUUAAAUAAGUAAUUAAUGUCGUAUUUAGCUAUUAACUAGUUAGCCCUUAAGCGCUAUAUAUAAUAUUGGCAACAAAUAAAACCCAAGUUUGCAAUAUCUAUGAAGAAUCGUUGUAUGUGAAAGUACGAUUUCUCUAAACUUUAACUAGGUUGAUUUUUUCAAUUUUUCUUUCUCAAAGACUUGGCUGAUAAACAUGUAAAAAGACGAUUAGUUUUGGCCCCCAUCUCUAUCUUGCUUAUGCAUGGGGAUCCCUUACCACAUAAAGUGAGUUCAAUAGUACUUAGACGUACGAUUCACUAAUUACAACCAAAUACGUAUAUAUACACAUAUUAUAUAUACCUCCGAGGGUCCAAGACAUAGUACUAUAUAUAUAGUAGUUUAUCCAUCCCCAAAAGAACUCUCACAUCUUGUAAAAUGAAUCACUAUUUAUUCAAUUAGGUUGAAUCCUAGCCAAUCAAUCUCUCUCUCCCUGAAAAAAAAUUUGGUAGCUUUUAUUUUGAGACCUAAAACCAUAGUGGAGCCUUUGGGGGAUUUGACAGUUUGAUAAACCGCAGUUGAUUCCAAAUAAAGCCAAAAAUGAGAAGGGAAAAAAAGAAUAAAGGAAAACAAGUUUAUGCAUAUGUAUAUAUAUCGAGAGAAGCAUAUUUGGUUUAAUAUCCUAGUGACUAGAUUAUUAGGCUUCUACCUAUGUGCUCUAGGUUCGAAAUUCUCAUUCUCUUAAAUUAUUGUAAUAGUUUCGAAUCUUUCAUCUCUUCUUAGUAAAAAUAAAAUUUAGUAAAAAAAUGUAUAUAGAGGGAAGUAAUAACAUAAUCAUACAUUAGAUGGGACUAGCAUCUACCUUAUAUGCAAUUAUUAUUUUUCUGUACAUAUGGUGGGGACUAGGGUUUAUAGCUUCAAUGCAAAUUAUUCUAAAACCACAUUGGUUGUUGACCUUAUAGGGAUAGUGAGGUGGUGUUACAUUAGAUUUUCCGCCAGUGCAUGUAUACACAAAUAUUGAAAAAACAAAUAAGAAUAAUUUGGUGUUUUACAAUAACUUUAUAUAAAUUACAAUUUGAUAUAAUAUAUAUACAUAUAUAUAAUAAUCAAAAUCAUACUCAUUAAACUCUCUAAUUAGCGUGAUAUGAGAAACAGAUAAAACAUGCAUUACCACGGUGCAUGUAAGUUUCUAUUCCUUUUGAGGAGCUGAACUUUUUAGUUUUUGAAGAAAAAAGAAAACAAUAGUAAAUAUGAAAAGAAAUUGUUGUAUAAAACAAGACAUAUUUUUUUGAUCAAAUAUAAAACAAGACAUAGGAAUAUGGAAUAAAGAACAUGAUGUCUGAGUGUUCUACUGAUGCAUGCAAAUGGUGAUUACUGCUGUGUCAGUGGGUUGACGGAACACUGGGUUUAUAACAAAAAGAACAAGAAAAGAAUCACACCGACGGAUCGAUAAUUAAAUAACUAAUUAAUAUUAAUUGGUGUACGUAUUUACGUUCUGUUAUAUCACCGCACCGCAGAGGUACAAUGAAACCGUAGUAACUGUCAAAAGUUGAUAAAAAGAAAAAAAAACUGUCAAAAGACUGGCAAACUUACCUCAUCAUCAUAAAGUGAAAGGCAGAUGGAGAGGUAGCUAGAAAAAGAUCUAGAUCGGUCGGUUCGAAGAGGGAGAGGGCGGAAGACAUAAAAUUGUGAAGCUGAGUUGAGAGAGCAAUUUUUAUGGUCCUGUUACUGUAAUAUCACGUGUAAUAUUAAAUAUUACGUAGUAAAAAUUUAAUUUGUAUCAUAUUAUUAUUAGUACAGAUUGCUACACUAACAAUGUAUUCGUGUCGACAAAAUAUUGCUCACCAAAUUGUGGCAACCCACCAAACAGUACAUGCUCUGAUUAUAUUUGCAGCUUGAAAUGACAUUUCAGGAGCCUCUUUCUAUAAGCUCUUUUGACUGCAGACACAUAUUUCUCUCUCUCUCUCUCUCUCUCUCUCUCUCUCUCUCUCACACACAACUCAUAAAGCUGCCAACAAGAUCCAUUAUAUCCCUUCCAACCUCUGUAGUCUAUAUAAUUAUGAAAAAUAUUGCUACAGAUAUAAGAAGAAGCUACUGUUUAUAAUUAACAGCACAUCUACCUUUCUCUCUGUCUCUUGUUCCAGCCUUUCCCUCCACCCAUGAACCUAAUAAUUUGAUCUGAAUUUAGUCCUGGUAAAGUCUACGCUGUGAUGUCUUUGCAGGUCAAUAGUUAAUACACCUCCUCUCCCAGUUGCAUUUUAUGUUACAAAUAUCUGUUUAAAUUAUUAAUUUUAGAAGAAAUAACUGGAUAUAUAACCUAGCUAAUAGUUUCUAUUGUCCUUCACACGAAAAAUUAGACUUUUACAGGAGGAGCAAUUGAGGAGUGAGAGGACAUAAAGUUUAGCAAACAUAUGAUCGCAAUGCAUGAUUAAUCUAUCUUCCUAUGAAUACAUAGAAAAUUACUUCUUGAUCUUAUGAAUAUUACUGAUGUUUGCAACUCUGCAACUUUGUCCACAUAUAUAUUCAGCAAUAACAAGAAUCUGAAUGUAAGAUAAGGAAAAAUAUAAGAAAUCCCUCCUCCUUUCAAUUGUUGGAACUUUAGGAACUCAUCAUUUUUUAGGGUUAGUAUAUAUAUUAAGGUAUAUACAGAUUGCCUGGUCUUCACACUCGUAAAUUUUUUAAUGAAUGAAUCAUAUGGGUUGGAUUGAUACGUCUGCCUUACCAAUUCGGUGGGUACUCGAAUUUCUCAAAUUUUUAGGAUGACUUCAUGUAUUAAUGGUAUAGUGAGCUAAAGAGUGUUUAGCUAUAUUUUUUAUUACACCCCAUAAAAUUCUAUAAGGAGACCAAAGGAAGAAUAUAUAAUUAACUUUUAAUUACUUCAUAUCCUAUUAGCUUAUUUUUAUUACUUUUUCCAGUUAAUAAUAAAAUGCAUAGUUCUUUUUUUUGGUAAUCAAUACAUAGAGCAUAUAGCUGUUUCACUGUCUACCAAUGCAGUGUAUUGACUAAUGUACAUCCACGAGAAACUCUGAGGAUUACCCUUGUUGGGAUCUGAGUUGCAUAUAUAUAGCUAUGACUUCAGCCUGCUAAGCCUUUUAUGCACUAUUUUCUCAAAUGGUUUUACCAACUCCUUGCCAGUCCUAGCUUUAUAUCAUCAACCAAAGAGUUUUAACUACAUUUGCAGUUCUCAGAUUAUAAAAUAAAGGUGGGAUUUUCAUAUGUAUAUGCAUAAUUGUGCAUUGCACAGAUACAAAAAGAAAGUGUGCAUGAAGAGAAGGGAGAGUAAAUUACAGGAACUUGGUUUAUCAUUCAUCUAUUAGGAACCAUUGCUAAUUAAGGAAGUCUUAAAAAUGUAAACGAAACAGAAGUAAAAAGCAAUAAUACUACUAAGAGAAGGAAAAAAUAAAAAUAAACAUAGCUUAGCUUCCAAAAGCAAAUUUUAGGGUUUUAUGGCUUGUAAUUCACCAAAAAAAAAAAAAGCACGUUUAAACCAAGCUCACAAACUCCCCCUCGUACCGUCAAGGUUUUUCAAAACCAAAAACAAGCACACUAAUGGGAGGAGGAGUCAUUUUCCUCAAUUUCAGAAGCUACAUCAUCUUCCUCUUCAAAACAGUCAAUUCCAUAAGCUGCAUGGCCUUGUCCAAAUGCCUUGAUAUGAUCUUUGAGAGACCUCUUGUGCUUGAAAUCAGAGCCACAAGUGCAAUACCAAAGUUUGCCACAAUUUUUUUCAUGGGUUCGCCAAUCACCUCUCACUGCAAAAGCCUUGCCACAUUUUCUACACAUGAAGGGUUUGAUCCCAUGCUUUCUCUUGUAAUGGGUUUGUAGGGUUCUGAAGUCUUUGAGAGGCUUUGCCCUUGGAUGGUCAAUGUUGUUUCUGCAACCUGGCGCACAGCAAUAGCAAGGCAGUCUAAGCAUGGCUGUUGGUUGUGUUCCCCUUAGAGAUUCUGGCCCUUUCCUGUAUUGAGAUCCAUGCCCCCACAUAUGCAUCUGCAUAUAUAAACAAUUUAAUUAGGUAAAAAACAAUACUGUUGUUGGAAAAUGCUCUAAUCUACCACUAUUAUUGUUCAAAGUGAUUGAAAUAUCACUUAAGCAACCAAAUCAUCCGAUUAUGUUCAAUGCAAUAGUGGUAUUUCAUUCACUUACCGCUAUAAUAACGGUAGAUUAGAGAAUUACUUCCCAUUAUUAUUUGAUGUCGCACAUUUAGAAGACAACUUCAUCUGCUAUAUAUAUAAAGUUAAUUUAUAUCGUACAGCUUUUGCCUUAAGGAAAACUAAAAAAGGCACCAGGAAGAAAAUUUGAAGUAAUUAGCAUUGCUUGCAUACAAGUUGGACUUGUUGCGCAUAAGAUUCGGGUGUCUUUAAAAUGUUGAUUCUUUUAAGACUUCUUUGAAUAUCACUUGUAAUUUAUGCUUUUAUAAGACAAACAUACAUCAUACAUGGGUCAAGGUGUUUGAAAAUGAAAAGAUAAAGUAAAUGUAAUGUCAUAGAAGUUGGAGUUUGAAUUUAUUUAUCAUUUUUUGGGUUUAAUCUUUCCAAAUUAGCAUUCUAGUUCAUGGUAUGUACUUGCAUAAAUAUGAUCCAAAACAGAAGGAAAAAAAAUAGAACAGAUGGAGAUUCAAAUAGGUAGGUAAAAGCCUAAAAAAUACCGAAUCUUUGUGUAUUCAUAAACAAAGAAUUAAUAGUAAUUGACCAGCAAAACAAUGAAAUAAUAGUAGUAUAUGAGAACUGAUUUUUCAUCGAUAUAUUUGGUGAUUUUGUUUUUGAUAGGGUGGUGUUAUCUACACACCCCUUAUAACCUUUCAUACACUCUUUUCAAUUUCAGCAGUCAGAUUUGAAUGAAUAUAAAAAAAAAAUAACAAUGGAAUAUAUGAGAUGUAAAGAUGGAUUUGUGUAUAACACCACCCUUUUUGUUCCUCGGCAAUGAGGAGGAUCAUCUGAAAGCAGGAAGAACUAGGAAUAUCUUCGGUUUGACACACCUGCCAGUGUGUGAAACACAAAUUUCAAGGUGCAAAACGCACAAUUCCAGCUGUGUAGUUCAAUCACAUAAAGAGGGGUACUGCUAGCUGAUCAUAGUUAUAUCCCCAGAGUCAGUUUUGGACCAGGUAUAGAUUAAUUUAUUCUUAUUUCUUUAAAUCCCAAAAACAACAAUUCAUGCAAAAAGAUAGAACAAGAUUGCUGAUUAUAUAAAGUGCAAAACUGGACAUACAAAACAAAACAAAGUAAAAUGAUUUAAAGUUGGAAGAAGAGAAGAAAAGGGAAACCCUAAGGACCCAUAUAAUAAAAGUUAAAGAUUAAAUCAAGCUAUAAAAAAGUGUACAAAAAACAAAGAUAGAUAGGAAUGGAUUUUCUCUUUCUCUGAAAAAUCAAAAGAAAAUGACCAGAUGCAGAAAGUGAUGGCAGAGCUAGCUAGAGGAGGAAGGAAAACAAAAAGUAAACACUUUCUUAUUAUUUAAUAUUUCAAACUACUUUUUCUUUCGCUCUAGCUUAAGAAAUCAUGGAACAGAAUACAUACAAUUCAGAUAUAUAUGAAGGCUAAUUAUAUAUAUAGAUUGUUGUACCUGCAUGUUAUUGUAUCUAUUGAAGGUCUUGAAGCAAAGAGGGCAUGAGAACUGGGUUGGACCAAUUAAAAUUUGAGCAGGAGUAGGGAUCCAGUACUGUCCUUUGUUGAGCCUGUUUGAUGCAAAACCAGCUGAAGCAACAGUCACAUCUGCUUCUUUAUCUGAUGGGAUUUCUGGGGAAGAGAGCCUGGAGAUUAAAUCAGCUGAAGAUAGAGUUCUGCUUGGAAGCCCUAAAUGUAAAGCCACAGUAACAGUUUCAUCAUCUUCUUCUUGAUGAUCAACAAUAUCAUCAGACCUAGAAGAGCUCAAGAAGCUUUGAUGGUCAUCAGCAGCAGCUGAUUCUUGCAUGUCUUCGUGGUGGUGAUUUCUUGAAGGGCUUUGGCUGAGGAGUGGAAGGGCUUCUCUUAGAGGAGGAGAGGGAGGUGAUGAAGAUUGGUGGUGGUGAUUAGUGAAAAGGGUAUUGUUAAUAUUGUUGAUCAAGUUGUUUGAUGAGCAGAAAUUGUGGUAAUCUCCAUAAUUAGGAGGGUGAUAAUUAUAUGGAUUAACAGAGGAAGGUGUGGAGGUGGAAGAGAAGUGGUGGACAUGGUUGAUAUUAAACCAACCAUUAUUGAAGUAAUUAGGGUAGGGAUCUGUCAUGAUAUGGUGAGAGAGAAUGGUUUGGUUUUGCAGGGAUUGGGUUAAUAUAGUAUACACUAUACAGUUUACGCACAGAAGAAAGAGAGAGAAAGAACCAAAAGGCAAUGAUAAGGUGGAGAGUGGAGACCUAUUGAACAAGAUCACCAACUCAAAAAGCAGAAGUAUGGUGUGAGGGUAAAAGAGAAAAACUAAUAUGUCACGGGAAAAAGAGAAAAACUAAUUAUUUAAAAUUUUGUCUUUAUAAUAUAAAAAUGUGUAAAUUUUUAUCUAUACGGUGUUGUACUGUUGACACAUGUUAGACCUCAAAAUGAUUUAAAAAUGGGUAAUGCUAGAGAGACUAAAUUUGUAAAAAAAAAUUUGCAAACUAAAUGAUGUGUCAUCAAUAUGAAUGAACAUAUUUAUCCACGCUUAAGUAAUAAACCAAUCAUCAACUUCCAUGUCCUUUUUUUUCUAAAAUUUUGUUAACAAAUUUAGUCUCCUUAACAUUAUCCUUUAGAAAAGUAAGUGUGCUAUUAAUAGUGUGUGAGAGAAAUACUAGAGAGUCAUUCUCAAGGUGGGAUCCUCAAUUGACUUUUUAUCACUUCAUGUUUUUGAUAUAAUAUUUUAUAAUGUUAGUAUGAGAAUUAUGCUAAAAAAUAUAAAAUGAUAAAGAUUCUCACUUUUAAAAGAAUCUCUUUAAUAUUUCUUCAGUAUAUGAAUCAAACUCUUACAGUAGAUCUGAAAAUUUGAGUGGUAAGUUGCUCUCGAGUGUGUAGGCAUAAAAAAUCAAGGUUGAUAAAGCAAGCCCAACUCAGUGAAAAUGAGAGACAAGAAAUCACUUACGACGUGUGACUAAACAGUGACAAAAUAUGCUAAGAUGAGAGAGAGAGAGAGAGAGAGAGAAUAAGAGAGAUAAUCUUGGGACUUGAAAGGACGAGUCACUUAUUGGACACUGUGUACAAACGGUAUACAAUUUGUGUACAUACUGAUAUGAAUAAAAGGAAGAAAAUUACCCCUCACCAACCCAAGAGACUCAACUUUGAUGAAGGAUAGAAAAGAAAAGAAGGCAAAAGACAAAGUUGGUAAUUAGGGUUGUGGAAGUUGUCCCCCAUAUUCCUAUUCCUCCUGCUCCCAUUGAUAAGAGAGAGAGGGCAGAGAGGGAGAGGGAGAGAGAGAGAGAUUGUACAUUGUACAACAAACCAUCCAUUGCAAUUUGCAUGCAUACAGAAGCUAGCUAGGCAAUGUAUUUUCUUAUAAUUUUUAAUUAAUUUAAAAGAAGAUAGAUACGAUGGUAUUAUUUGAAUUAUAAUUUUCUGUGGCUCCGGGAACAAAUGGUUUGGAUCCAAACCCAGCAUUUGCUUUGGUGGGCGGGCCAUGGUCGGCUAACUUGGCUCCCAACGAGCACAGAGAGAGAUACAUUGUCCUCAUCUUAUCUUUGUUUCAUGCUUUUACAUGCACAACAACACUACAACAACGUUACUGUUCCCUCCCUCCCUCCCUCCCUCCCUCCCUCAUUAAUACAUAGUAUGGGCCAAUUAAACAUUGUCUACGUAUUGAGCCGACAAUGGUAUUGGCAUUUGUCAAAAUUUCUUGUCGUGAAUUAAUUGAUUAAUGAGUAUAACAAGAAAGCAUAAAUUUUACUAUGCUACAAUGUAUUUUACACGGAAUAUGAUUUUUUUCCUUCUAAAUUCUCUUUUUUCCCUCCUUUUUUCUUACACUUUCCUUUGUCAUUCUCUUUAUAAAGAAGUUAAAACAAGAUGUUGACGUAGCUUAAUCUUAAUUGUUAAUCCUAACCGUCCAAAUAAAAUAAGAAAGAUAGAGACGAAGAUUUGGAAGGAAUAGAAUUCUACUCCAUUUUAUACACUUAGAAGUUUUACUAAUUAUAUUUGGUGAUUGGAUUCUUAACCAAAAUUUAAGGGCUACAAAACCGAAGCAUAUAGUAGAAAACCCCACGAGCAAGAAGAAUAGCUAGUCUUUUUGUCCCUAAACAAAUAUUAUAUAAAGUACCGGUGAAGAAUUUAGCUAAUCGAUGGCAAAAACAGAAGAGCGAGACUUGUGGCCAUCAAAUUAAACAUGGAGAUGAUUUAGAGUAAAUUGUAGUAAUGGUUCCUCAAUUUUAAUCAAAUUAGAGCAAUGGUCUCUCAACUAAAAAUCCAUUACCAUUGGUCCCUCAACUCAUUAAAAUGUGUAGCUAUGGUCAUUUUCACCAACUUUGUUAGAAUUUUGUCAAAAUAAAUUAUGUUGGAAGGACCUUUGUUACAAUUAGGGCCCCUCAACUCAUCAAAACAUGUAGCUAUGGUAUUUUUCGUCAACUUCAUCAGAAUUUUGUCAAAAUGAGUUAUGUUGGAAGGAUCAUAGCCACAAUUGGGUUAAAAUUGAGGGACCAUUGAUUCAAAUGGGUUAAAGUUGGAGGACCAUUUCUCCAGUUGGAUUAAAGUUGAGGGAUCAAUGGUAAUGAAUUUUUAGUUGAGGGACCAUAGCUGCAUAUUUUGAUGAGUUGAGGGACCAGUAGUAAUGGAUUUUUAGUUGAGGGAUCAUUUCUCCAAUUGAGUUAAGUUAAGGGACCAUUGCUACAAUUUACUCGAUGACUUCUAAUAGAUAUUUGAUUGAAGCCAACCUGUUAUUUUGCAGAAAUUUGAAUGUCUUCAUGGAUAUAUAAUAGAUUAUGCAAUGUGUUGCAUCCCUUUACGUUUUGUUGAUGUAGAAAACAUGAAAUUGAAUGAUAUAAAGAUUAGCUCCAAUUCGACGAGAAAGAAUUGUUGUGCCACCAAAAAUAUAUGCUCUUGUAUCUAUACCACUUAUCACGUGACAUAGCUAUAAGAUUCUCUUUGAUUGAACCCAUUAGAUGAGGUGAUUCACUCGACGCACAUUUCAUCAGUUACGUGCGUAUGCGUUCAUUAAGGUGUUCAAUGUUUUUCUCAGAUAAAACAGAAACUUCAGUGAUCUUAAUGUCCCAAGUACAAAGGAACAUAAAUGGAGGGAAACAAAUUUGCUGCAAUUUCUGAGCCGUAUGGCUGCCCGCAUCACAGUCCAAUUUGGUACCUAGAUCCUACUUUCUAGUUCCCACAUGCAUUUUGAUUACAAGUCGAGAGGGAGGAUGAAUAAAUGCCAUUCAAAGUCGCAUUCAAUGGUGGGACCUUCAAUAAUAUAGGAGGAAGGCGAUGCAUUAGGAGACAGAAUCGUACAAGCUAUGCUACCAAUAAUCACAUUGCUUAUGCAACCGCCAGCCGUUCAUACAUAUUAAAGAAUGCAUUGCGAAAUUCACUUGUAUAACGACUGACAGCCACUCACGUGCGCGAAAGCGGCUAUCAUUAGCAUCAGUAUUUGCAACGUCGGUUGAGUAAAUUGGUUGAUAUCUGCCACCUGCUAGCAAUUGCAAGCGGACCUGACCUAGGGGACAAUAUGGAUGAUUGGUAUUCUUCAAGCAAUGGAAGCUAAGAAGCGCGCAGUAAUACUAAUAGUUUUCCUGCCAUUAUAUCGUAUUUUCCGACGAGUUACUUCCCAGUUGUUUGGUGAGGUAAAGUGUAACGCAAAACACGAAAAUAAUACGAUGAAUAUUGAAACACCGCGUGAAGAAAAGCAGCAUGUGCAACCUGAACACAAAUAUAUAACAAAAGAAUUAGAAGACAUGGAACCUAAAGCCCCUAGUUCCGAUGUCCGACCCCAAAGUGAAAUCUCUUUGCAUGCUGAUCGUUAAAUGCGUAUUCAAGGCGAAGAGGCCCCAGCGGUGAGUCGAGUCUGAUGCCAAAUCCAUAUCCGUACCCGCUUCCAGGCUUAUGCCGAGCCCCGGCAGGAUCACCUGACCAAAUCAGAAUAUAACAACCUCUAAGAACAUUUCCUGCGAGCAGUCUGAACAUUUAUGCAUCAACGAUCACGAAAUAAGAUUGUUCUUUAAUGGUUCCAAGGAUCCAAUUGUGAACAGUAGGUUAAACUAAAGAGAGACCUACCAGGCACGGUGGGGCCUGAUCCAAGAUCAGUGCCGUAGUCAGCAAAAAUAACUCCUCCAACUGGCCCUAUCUGCGAAAACAGGCCGGGACAUCAUGACGGAUCAAGGAAUCAUUCUCUUCAAGUGUAUAAAUUUAUAUGAAAAAUUGGGGGAAGGCAGUUGCAUACAGUAUCGAAUUUUGUAAGGCCGAUUAUACCACAUACCAUUGGAAAAGAAAUUUCUCCAGAGCCAACUGCAUAAGAUCUCCCAGAGCCCACAGCACCUUCUUCGUAACCUCUUACACUAUUUGUUCCACCGAUGCCAAAUGCUUCAUGUGGUGGGAAGUUACCAACCACAUGGCCACCAGACAAACUUGCAGGGCAAAGUAUAACAAAGUCAAAACCAAAUGAGAAUAUAACUAGCUUCACUUCAAAGCUACAAUUACAAUAGCGAGGUGGGGGAGUAUUGGGGGAAGGAUAUGUUUUCUGAUAGAUUGCUCCUACUGUGACAAAUACAGAAUGGUCGUACCUUACAAGAACACGAGUAGGACCAAGUUCUACGUCUUUCCUGGCGCGAGCAUUUAUUCUGUUGAAAUACAACCAUUCAGGCAAAACAGGAAGUCCUUGUUCCACGUUGAAAACACACUGCAAAGGACCCAAAAUUGGUAUCAAAAUACAGUGGAAGAUCAGAGAGAGAAAUAGUGGGGGUUAAAAUUGUGAAAACUGAGGAUGACUAACCAUUGACGACCCAUGGUCACCAGAACCCGUGUAGACACUCUCAAGUUUAGCAAGGAGCAUAUCAUCAUGAGUAUUGCCACUACAACACAAAAAUGAUAAACAAAGAGCAGCAGAUGAGAAACAUGGAUCGCAGAGAAAUAUAAACAAAGAAACCAAACUGGAUUAGUUUCCAAUUAUCGGAUUUUAGACUCACGUACCUUGCAGUUAGAGGGCUGCUGUAGACAUCCUUGAUAAUAGGAUCUCCUUUCUCGUCACGAGCACCAGCAUGCUGGAACAAUAGUCCAGAAUAGGGGGAUUGUAAGUAUAAAUAAAAUACAAUCAAGUCAACAUAAUCUUAUAAUGAACCCCCACAAGUUACAACUACCACCCAGUAUUAAAAGGCAUCCAAGAAAACCAGAAAAACUAACCACAGGGGCGAUGCUAAACCCAAAAGUACCUGAAAGAUAAGCCCAGCUGUUCCACUAAACUUUGGUCUUAUUGGUCGGCUAAAUUCAAUACCCGCUGUGACGCGACCAAUGGUCAAGUUGCUACCAUUUAGUUGGUUACCAUGGAUAAGUGUUCCGGGGGUUGUUGAAUUCUAGCAUAAGAAGAAUCAGACAAGGGUCUAAGAAUCGAGAAUUUUGAAGUUGUUAGAAGGAUAAGAUGAUCAUACUUGAUACAAACUAACAUUAAAUCACCUGAACCAUUAUGGUCCUGGAUGUCCGCUUAUCAUCUCCUGCAAUCCAUGGAUCUGAGUAAUUUAUGCGAAAAAUCGAGUCUAUCUGGCCCCUCUCUAAGGAAACGUGUAGCUUUUGGUUUCUUCCGAAGAGAUUCCUAUGAGAAUAUGCAAAGCUGCAAGACAAACAAAAAACUUAUGGAAAACUUAAGUCUUAAGAAUCCAAUGAAACACUAGAUGACACGGGCCCAGCGAGAACUACUUGAACGAUGACACAUGCAUCUUUAUGUACAAAUACAUGACACUCAUAUAACAUUGAUAUUUGAAUAAAAAAGAAAAAAAAGAAAUACUUGGAUAUCAGAUAUUUGAAUAAAUAUUUUUGCAAAAGCAAAGAAUAUAAAUAAUACGAGGGGAUUUAAACGUUAAAAAUGUAGCACCAGCAUUUUAAGCAGUUAGGGCUGAUAAGCACCCAGACAGUCUUUAAGUAUUUAAAUGUUAAAAGGCAAAUUGUUAAAUACUCACACAGAUGUAUUUCUAUCAACUCACAAGGCUUAAUUAUCAUAACCAGUUUUAGUAAGCUCUGAUGCUACAUAAUCUUGUACAGAUACCCCUCCAAGUAUCAGUCCAAAAGUUUUGUUCACCUAAAUCUUUACCAUUUUAAGUUUCAAAUACCUAGGCUCUUCCCCAUGUCAAAGUCUGUCAACAAAAGGAUUUCAGACUGAUGCCAAUAGUCUAAAAGCUUAACACACUCCAAUCCAUAAAGGUUCAAAACUAGAUAAUUAUCAAUUUCUGUUUAAAGUCAAAUUAGAAUCUAAUCAACCCAAACUUAAUUUGCCAAACACAUAGUUUAUGCCAUAGAUGUAGCUUGUAGACAAGUUCCGUUAGAUAAAUAUAUUUAAUGCAUACACAUCAUGAAUAACUCAUCCAACUACGUCGUCAAGAUUAAGCAUGUAAACUGGGGAACAGAACAAAAGAAUGGAGCAUGAGGGAGAAAGGACAUAGAGCGAAGCAUUUAACACUGGAAAACUACACGUAAGAUUACCUUCCAAUGAGUCCUGACAGAGGGCCGCUUGUAAUUCUGAAAAUAAUAAAUAGAAGUUAAAUAUUUUGUACCAUAAAAUCUGAAACACAAACUCAAAGAUUUCAAUUUGUAUUCUCCACUACUUUGACUUACCCACUUGAUAUACCACCACCAGCAGAAAACCCUCCACUUGGCCGCUCAACAACAUUCAUUGUGAUAUCAACCUUACCAGCAUCUACAAUUAUUCAAUAGUUUUGGUAAACGCAUUCAAUCAGUCAAUAUCAUCACAAAAACAUGAAUAAAUAAUUAGCAUCAUUUCCACGGAUAUAGAUGGGGCCACAAGCAUAAAUGCCAAUGUCGGACAUCAAUAGUCCUACAAAGGGUUGAAAGUUGAGAGAUAACAGUCUACCACGGAUGACCACAUUGAUAGGACUAUUAGGAUUCAAGACUAACAAAAUCCUAUCGAAAUGAGGACAAUCACAGUAGACCGUUAUCCCUCGCUAACAGAAAAGUUCCACUUGUUGAUAGAAAAACUAAAGGGCUUGUUGCACAUUAACUCCUAUUUAAAACUACAAAGUACUCCAUCCUUCAAGUAAGGCUAAAUGAACUAGAUGUUUCCACCUUUCUUCCAUCCAUUUACUCUUCCCAUCCAAGCAAGAGAACAGUAGUUUCCACACAUUGCUACUUCAAAUUUAUUUUAGGCGCUGAUUAUUACGAAAACUCAAAAUCACCUAACAUUCUGAAAUAUAUAAUUUCAAACAAAAUUACUUGCCUAAAAAAUAAUAAAACUAAAAUUUUCUUUCCACCUGCUGGUUGGGGUAUGAUGCUAACAUCUUCCAUAAGUCCCAUAGUCAAUACAGUCUCUACAUCUCUUUUUCCCUGUAACAUACUGUAGACCUACAUAGGAAAUCCCGACAAGUAAAACACAGUGUUCCUGAAUAUCAAAUUAAAAAUGAUUGCUUUGUGUAUGUAAAAAAGUACCUGGCCCUUCUUAGUAGUAAGUUGGCGAAGUAUCGUGUCGGGCUUUGUCUUCCCUAUGGUUGGUUCACCCCUAAGAAGAGCAGAGAAGAAUUAGUGAAGAAAUGCUGUAGUUGCCACCUUCCCAUGAAACUUCAAAUUUCAAGGUUAUCUGUAAAUGAAAACUCAAUAAAGGCAGGAGCUUACGUCUUCCUGUCAAGGAAUCGCAUGGAGAUAUUAUUCACCUCAGUUUCUGAUACUUGUAACUUAAGAAUACCACCUGAGAGAAUCUCAACAGCUGAAACCUACAAUAUAAUGGAGAAAACACAUGUCAACUAUUAAAAAAAAUCUUGAUCACAAACAUAUAAGGGAAAUUAGAAUCCUACACUGAACCAAUUCUACACUCUACAGCACUAGAAAAAUUAACUCCAACUUUAUAUAUUUUGAAAUUAUAAACAAAAAAAAUUAACAGCCUAAUCCUUUAUCUUCCUUUUCUAUAAAAAUAAAUUAUAACAAAUCAAUGGGAAAGCUGAUAUAGAGUAACCAACCAUGGCAAAAAGGCCCCGAUCCAUGUACCAAUCAUUGAUGGAAGAUAUUACUUCAUUCAAACGCUUAAGAUUAAUAACUUUUCCUGCACAACUUGACACCAAAACCGAAAAUCAAUAUAGGCCCCCCAUGUCAUGAAAGUGGCACCACCAGAGAGAUCCAAAUGAUCUUUCAAUAAUGUAUGCAUGCCCACACCCGUAACCAUGUAAGAGCAUUGAAGAAAAACCUACCAUAUCCAUCACAGAAUGCAUCCUUCAGAAACUUUGCUGGAAGAACAUUUGCCCCUUCACAUACUAGCCCUUGGAAUUCCUGGUUUGGUUUUACCUAGCUCCAGCCAAAUAAUAUAAACUAUCAGUCAUAGUUAUGUCAAAGGGAUACAUGUUUCGAUACAUGAUCAUGACAUGAGUUUUUAUCACCUACAAAACAAUUACAAAAAAUCGAUCAAUACUAACUCUCCAUUUUCAAUUUUCUCUCUUGAAGCCAAAUCUCUCCAUUUAGUUUAAAGUCGCGGAAUGAAACGUCUGAAAUGAUCACGAGACACACAGAUUCAACCCUAAAUCCUAAUGCAACAAUGCAUAAGCAGCUUGGUAAUUACCAUAGGUUCAUAACAGAGCAAACAAAACAUAAAUUUGACAACGAAAAGUGAAUGCAAAACGAAUUUUAAUUAAUAAAUACUAACGCGGGUCGAAGUUCUUCAUUCGAAUCAAAAAACAGAAAACUUCAGUUCCACAACAAUGCAGAUAUAAUGUUGAUACCUGAAAGAUCAAUCUGAUGCCGUCCCUUGUAUCGACGGCGACCGGCAUGCAGGAGCAGAAAUAGCCACUAUCGAUGAUCCUAUGCACGUCCUCCUGGACCUCCCGCACAGUUAGCGCCGAGUUCGCUCGGCACGCCUUGAGAGCAGCCAACGCCUCCAUUUCAAGGUCCUUCCUUUCCAGCUCCUCCCCGUCCUUGUUCCUCACCAGCACCUCGCUUAUCAAAACCCUCUCCUCAUCGUGCCGACUGGAAGCGUGUCCCUUCUGCUGCGACUGAAUCGACUCGUCCGGCCGAGUCAGAGCCAGCGACGCCGAGCAUAAAAGAGGCGACUUCCCUACGAACUGGCCCCGGUCCGCAUUCCGAUUUCGCGACUCGGACUCUGACGAGUCGGCUGGCCGAGUCAGCGACAGCGACGCGGAGCAGAGGAUGGGCAAAGGAGGGAACUUUGGGAAAGAAGUACGAGUCCUAAGCGAGUCGAUGAGUUGGGAAAACGAGUUUCUGGUCCUCGCGAACAGAACUGUGAGGUCCACGUGUCGAUUUUCGGGAGAGCGAGGGACUUUGGCGGAAGGAGACGAAGUGAACCGAACGUCGUCGUUCGGCGGCAUUGGAGAUGGACUGAGAAAUGAUACCGGAGAGUGGUGUUUGGUUGCAGAGAUAGAGAAGCCUUGUCCGGGAAUAAGGAGUAGGAGGGCUUUAGGGUUUUGGUUGACAGUCGAACAGAGAGUGAGGGUUUGGGGAAGAGGACGGGGACGAUGAGUCAAACAAGAAGGAAAAUCCGGGAGCGGUUUCGGAGGCGGGUCGUGGGCUUGGGUUCUGGGUACUUCUUGGGCCGGGCCAUUGAAAAUGUAAGUUCAACCCAAACCCGCCCAAUUCAUAACUCCUCACUUUCCCCGAAAAUUUGAAAAAACAAGCCGCGCUAAUACGCCAACCAUCUCCCACCGUCCAUUCCAAAAACACCCAUCUCUCUCUCUCUCUCUCUAGCUCUCUCUGCAACUCGGUGAAUCUGAAUCCAUGGUCGAAGUGUGACAUCGUCGACGAUGGAGAAGCUGUUGGUAAAGAUCUUCGACAGGAAGAAAUGGAUCGUCAACCAAGCAAAGCAGCAGACCUUCCUCUUCGAGCAACACCUCGCCUCCAAAUGCCUAAUUGACGGGAUUGCCCCUCCUCCCUGGCUUUGCUCCUCCACCGAACCCAGCAAUGGUACUACUUUCCGACUUCAAUCUCCGUCAGUUCAACUCUGUCGUGCGUUUUUCUGUAUUAGUUUCAACCGAACUGUCCCUGAGAGUGAUUUUUCGUUUCAUCAUUUCUCUAAAACCCUAGGUUUUCCACUUUGUUUGGGUAAAAAUGUUGAGUUUUGCUGCCCGAUUUCAAAUUUGCUGUUUUGUUUAGGUUUUGUGGGGAAUUGCGUUUUUAGAUGAGGAAGAAGCGAAACCUAGGUUUUGCACAUUGCAUUAUGUAUUUGUGAACUUGUUGAGGGCAUCGUUUGAAUAGCGUUGUUAAGUUUGUUGCUUUGGACUGAAAUAUUUGCUAUUUUGUUUCGGUUUUAGUGGGUAUUACGCUCUUAGAUGACGAAGAAAUGGAACUUUGGUGGUCCGUAUGUAUUCGUGUAAUUUGGAGCGUUAGAUACUCUGAUUGGCUGCUUAUAAAGUUUUUUAUUUGGGAUACAUUUGCCAUUCGAACGAUGCAUCAACUGACUAUUAUACGAGUAAUAUAACAAACACACAUCUGUAUGCUGUAUGUGUUGUAGCUAUGCAUGUACAGUGUUCUUGUGCUUAUGUGCAUGAAUUAAUUAUCUUUUGAUUUGUUCAUUACAGUGUUGAACAAACAAAAGUUGAAUUCUGGAGUUCCACUCCCUCGAGCGCUGCCUGUGAUCCCUAUUAGUAGCCAUUGUUCUGUAUUUGACAAGCCAGCUCCCACGACUCUCACUGGGGAGCUACCAAAUGGUUUGUGCACUGAACUUCAUGUUUUGGACAAAGGUUUUGGCGCUGGGGAUAAGGGGUUGGUUUUGCCACAGUGUUCUGUAAGUAAUGCUGGGUGUGUAUCCAACAGCGUUCCUCAAGGGGAGAGAGAAGAGGAUCCUAGUGUUACAUCUCCAAGAGAUGUGAGGGAUGCAAGAAUCAGAGACAUUUACCAUGAUCUAGCUCUAUCACCGGCUAGAGGUGCAGAAGAUGGGGUAUUAAUUUUGCCACAGAGCCCUGUUAGUAAUGCUGGAUGUCCCUACAACGGUGUUCCUCAAGAUCAGAGAAAAGAGGAUCUGGGUAAUACAUCUCCUGAAGAUCAAAGGGAUACAAGAACCUCUGACAUUUACCAUGACCCAGCUCUAUCACUGGCUAGAGUUCAGAGAUCCAAAUCCAGACAAAAAGCUCUGGAAAUUCGCAAAAGUGCCAAAAAAAGCUUUUCACAAGAUAAGAACAAUGGUAUCGGGCAUGCUAGUGGAACAAUUGGGCGUGCAAUAUCUUCCCUACGGUCUGACCAUGUUGAUGAACUGAACUUAGUCAAACCUCCUGAUACAAGUGAUUAUGCUUGUGAAGUAGAAGAAGCAAAAAUAAGGGAGUUUCAAAGCAAGGAAAGAGGUACUACCAUCUCCUCUGGUAGAAUUACACGAUCUAGAAGCUCUGGUCAUCAGGAGAGCUCUUUGAAUGUCAGUGGCUCGGUUUGUAUUGACAGGAAACUUGGCGGUGCACUUGCAGAUUCUAGAGGCAUAUCACCUCAGCAGUCCAAAAAUGUAAAUAAACCCUUGGAAUUGGUUAAUUACUCUUAUAUCACUAAUGAUAGUGGCCAAGAGAAUGAAGCAAAAGUAGGUGAACAUUUUAUCAUGGAAAAGGGACGCAGCGAAUACUCUGGGAGAACAACAAGAUCUAGAAGUGCUAGCCAAGAACCUAAUUGUCUUGAUGAAUUGUCCAAGUUGGAGCAAUCAUCUAACAGCAUAAGUGAAGUUGGUGUCAGAAAUUCAUUGCUACAACCGAAACAUUUUGAUGAAAUGGUGGAAGUGGUGAAAUCUUGUGAUAUUGUUGAUGGAAAUUGUGAAGCGAAAACAAAAGUAGGGGAGAGCUGGAGCAAGGUAACCAGUGAUUACAGUGGCAGAAUAACAAGAUCCAGAAGUUCAUCCCAGAACCCAAAUGACGUUAACAAUUAUCCGAAGGUAGAUACUUCCUGUAUUUCUGUUAAGGGUGAUGGCAGUACAAUCCAUCUUUCCACUGGUAAGUCAACACAACCACCUCAGCCUUUAAGUACUGGGUCACAAGCUGUGCAUAUUACUGAAAAAAUAGCGAAAGACGCUAUCACCAAUAUAUCUGGUCAAAGAAUUAAUCAGUCAACAUCGUCUUCAUCUAAUAAGUCUCACAAUUCACAGAGAACUUUAAUAUCUGCUGGAAGGUCUGUUCCAAUUCAAUGUGAUAUAGACCUGUGUGCAGAGAAUUCAACAGAUUCUUCAGACAAGGAAAAUGAUGCAGAUCACUAUGCUGGUACAAAGACAAGUGCAGAAACUAAUUGUACUACUGAAGGAAUGUCAGAACCGGUCAAUUCACAGGCUUUGGUUCACAGGAGUACACAGUCCAGAUUCGCUGCUUCAAGCACGCAUUUGUCAGAAAAAAUGACUCACAGGGGUACACAGUACAAAGAGGUACCUUGUACUCAAACCUGUGAAUUUGUUAAAGCUGUAACUGGUGGAGAAACUGAAAUUGAUCCUGGUGUAUCUGUUGAAGGUUCUGGAUCAAAAUUGGAUGGUACUGGGGUUAGAGUUGGAGUGGAAGUUUUAGCCUCAAGGCAGCCUGCUGAUUGUAAUGUGUUUGUGAAUCCCAAGCAACUUAAUUUUGAUGAUGUGGAAGAAUCCUGUAGGAAUGGAAGUUAUACUCUUGCUUUUAAAGAGGGAAUGCAGGGAAGAUCACCAGAGAAAAGGUAUAUUUCCUUGAUGGACGCUGAUGAUAUACAGGAAGAAGGAAUGACUGUCAAUUAUCUAGAAAAUCAUAACUUGUCCCUGCCAAUGAAUUUUCUUGGGGAUCCGGAAGUUUCAAUCAAAGGGAAGGACCUCCAGAGUGGUUUAUCUGAAUCUCCUGUAGAGGAGGAUAGAAGUUUCUUGAAUGGAAAUGCUGUUUCAUCAGUAAUGGAGACAUCUGAUGUUCAUAAUGAUGCAGUUGCUAAUACGUUGCUAGAAAGUGGCAAUAGAGACUCUCGGUGUGGAGCCAUGGGAAGUGUAGAACAUAGUCCAAAGGCCAUACUAGAAUCUCAAGGCCUUUCACUUUCUCGGGUGGAUGUUGCAAAAUCAAUUGUCAGUAGAAGUCCUGUUGAAGAAAUGACUCAAAAUGAGGACUGCCACAUGAUAGAGAGCUCUGAAUCUUCACCUAAGGCACAGAUUAAAGAGGUACUUAAUUUUCUGUUAUGCAGUGAGCUCUCUCGCUCUCUCUUGGCUAAGUGGUGGCCCUCACAUCUAUGUUAUUCUAUAUGACAGUCUUGUUUUAUUUGAGAUUUUCUGUUUAAUUGUUCUCGUCAAAUUGCUUGUCUACUUUUAUUUGGUCUUUUAUAAUGUAUAAGAUUGUGUUUGAUAGGGUGAAUAUAGUGAUGAACUGAACGUAGUCAAACCUACUGAUACAAGUCCUUGUGAAGUGGAAGAGGGAAAAAUAGGCGAAUUUCAAAGCAAGGAAAGAAGCAUUGCUCUCUCCUCUGGUAGAAUUACAAAAUCUAGAAUAUCUGACCAACAGGAGAGCUCUUUGAAUGUUAGUGGCUCAGCCAGUAAUGCCAGAAGAAUUGGUUCUGUUGGCAUAUCACCUCGGCUGUCUAACCCUGCAAAUCAAUCCUUGGAAUUGGUUACUCUCAUAUCACUACUGACUGUUUUCAAAAGAAGGAAGCAAAGGCAAGAGUUCACUUCAUUACGGAGGGUUCAUGCCCUCAGCAUAAACGAAGAAAGAUUGAGCAUAAAACAGUUGAUGACCAGUCUACUUCCUUGGGCUUGAGAGAACGGGGUUUUUACACUGUCAAUAGAGAAUCUAUGUGUGGGAACUUGGGAAGCGUAGAAGAUAGUCCAAAGGCUGUACUAGAAUCUCAAGGGCUUUCAAUUCCUUGGGAGGAUGUUGUAAAAUCAAUCAUCAGCAGAAGCUCAGUUGAAGAAACACAUCAAAAUGAGGAUCACCACAUGAUAGAGUGGUCUGAAUCUUCACCUAAGGCACAGAUGACAGAGGUAAUUACUUUUUUGCUGUGCAGUGAUCCCUCUCUCUCUCUUGGCUAAGCUAUGGCCCUUACAUCUAUGUUAUUCUAUUUUGUAGACUUGUUUUAUUUGAGAUUUUUCACAUACUUGUUUUCUUAUAUCAGACAGGUUGCUUGUCUACUUUUAUUUGAUCUUUUCUAAUGCAUAAGAUUGUGUCUGACAGGGUAGAAUCAGCUUGGGAUGCGGGGAUACAAGUGGUAAUGCACCUUUCAUUUUCACGGAUAGAGAAUUUGAAGCUUCAAUCCUAAGUUUGAUGAAGCAAACUGGUAUGAUGGAGGAAACAGGAGUAGCACAUCCGCCAAGCAUUAUUAUUGACUCAGGAAGUCAGUGCAUGGAAGAGACUACUGUUUCACUAACUAGUGAGGAUAAUCUUACCACAGGAAAUGCUGAACAUUUGACUUGCGCUGGAAGAGCAAUGCAGGAAAUGAGAUUUGAUCUUGGAGGGACCAGCAAUUUUGGAUCUCCACAUGGCCAAUCCUUGGAUUUGAUUGAUUUGGAUGAUAGAAAGCCUGAGCUUGAGGGGUUCGUUAUGCAAACAGAUGAUGAACCAACAAGCAUUGCUGGAAAGGGAAUUAGCUUUGACGAGUGGAACCUUCCAAGCACUACAAUUGAACAUGCCAGCAUUCUGGAGCAGCUGUGCCAAUCUGCUUGCAUGCAAACUCCAGUAGCGUGCUCUUCAGCUUCAAAUAAGUUGCACAAAAUUCCAUAUCUCUACCAAUCCGUUCCAACUGGGCUUCUAGAGGGUGUGGAUAUGAGGACCAUGAAUGAUGCUGUCAAACAAUUAAAGGAUGGUCAUAGUUACUCGAGUGAGGAAGUUGGCCAGGCGUUUUAUGGAAGGUCCUAUUCUGAUUGCCUCUUAAAUCAUGGUGGUCAAUCUGGUUGGGAUACUAAGAAACCUUAUCUGUCUCCAGUUGGGAAACUCUGGGAUAUAACUGGUUCAAGGACUAGCAGUUCAAGGAAGCGAGGAAGCUUAAAUCUGGAGCUUCCCUGCAUUAGUGAAGAAAAUGAGAAUGCAGAUGAGGCAGCUGAUACUUUCCAAGAUGAAAGUGUUUCAAAUGCAUUAAAUAGGUCAAUACAAAGAGUACCACUUGCUGACAUUACUGAGAUUCCAAACCCUCCAGCAUCAGUUUCUAAAGCUGAACCAUAUGCAGAUAGACUUAGUCUAGAUUCCGUGAACACUGAAUUCAGCUUAACAGGCACUCAUAAGAGCUUCAAACAGAGGCUUGGAAUCCAAAACAGAAGCAAGAGAAGAUAUAACAAUAAGGAGAACCUGAGCAUGUCACAAGGAACAAAUGAUAUUAAGGGGACCACUAGAUCACUUCAUAAAAGGUUCAGUAAACCAAAAUUAUCUGGGAAAACCAGUUUGAGAAAAGGUGGUUCAAGUUUAUCAGAGCAGGAGCCGAAGCAUAACAAUAUUGUGUCCAGCAUGACUUCUUUCAUUCCACUUGUUCAACAGAAACAAGCAGCUGCAGUUGUAACAGGUAAUUUCUUACUAGUAAUCUUAACCUUUGAACUUUGGAUUUUGCAUUACAUGUACAUAUUCCAUGUGAUUGUUUUUCUGAGUGUGGAUCAUAAUUGUACAUCUAAACUGGGUUACAGUAUGGAUGAUGGUUUUAUUUUUACUGAAUUAGGGAAUGUUUUAUUUGGAGUAGUAAAUUAGCAAUGAAUGUCUGGGAUCAUCAAGUAAAAUUUAGAGUGCAUAUUUGAAAGUCCCAUGAAAGCUGAGUUGCCCCAUUGUCCUCCAUAAGUAUGUUAUAGGUGACUUCAUCUUGUCAUACGGAGCUUGACAGUGAUUCAUUUGUUUUUUUAUUGUAUCCUUGUGAAUUCUUGUGAGCAUUCUGGGAUAUUUUUCUUUGUUUCUUUUUUUUUCUCCAAUGACUUGAUCCAGUAUUUUGACCUAUUUGUGUUUUCUUGCAGGGAAGAGGGACGUCAAAGUGAAGGCCCUGGAGGCAGCUGAAGCUGCAAAGCGUCAGGCAGAAAAGAAAGAGAAUGAACGCAAGAUGAAGAAGGAAGCCUUGAAACUUGAGCGGUCAAGAAUGGAGCAGGAGAAUAUGAAGCAGUUGGAGUUGCAGAAGAAAAGGAAAGAAGAAGUGAGGAAGAAAAAAGAGGCUGAUAUGGCAUCAAAGAAGAGACAAAGGGAAGAGGAAGAAAGGAAGGAGAAGGAAAGAAAAAGAAUGCGUAUUGAAGCACGUAGAAACAAGAGAGAACAUGAAGACAAGUUACCUGCAGAAAAGGUAGAGAAAGAAAUGAAAACCCAGGCCAUUGUAUGAUUCUUUAUGGUCUGCCUCAUUUCAUUAUGUCUAUCUUUUUGUAAUGUUAGAUAUCACGUUGUAUAUUGGGCUGUCUUGUGUAGGAUGGAAGAGGCCCUGGGGGUAAGGAAUCUAAGGAUGAAAUGGCAAAUAAGAAAAUGGAGGAAGAAAGGGGAUAUGACAAUAACAUAAAUAUUUCGGAGACUAAGCCUAGUACUUCCAGGAUUUCAAUAAGCAAUGCCGGAAGAGAAAGUAUUGUCCACGAAGAGUUCCACGAGGCCUCGAGUAAUUAUGGAUAUAAAGCAGAGGUAAAUGCAAAUGAUUUUUUAACAACCAAUACCCACCAUAUCUUAGGAUCUACUUGCAUAUGUUGAGUGCUUUUACUUGUGUCGGCUGGAGCAUGGUUAUAAUCCUCUGUUAUUGUAGUUUGCAUAGGACCUUUAAACUUGUUGGGUUUUAACUAUUAUGAGGCCUUCCCCUUUGCUAUCUUUAUACCGCAAUAUAGGAAAGAAGGCUACACUAGUCUAAUUGCAAGACUUAUCUUCUGUUAAAACUACUAGUAACUUAUUGUAAACUCAAAUAUGAACCACCGUUAGAAAGUCUUCUUAUGCAUGAGCUGCAUACUUUUGUUUCGUGCACUUUUACUUUGUUUGUAAAGCCUCGUGCUGACAUUUCCUGUGAUAUUUAAGGUACUGAGCAAUUCAGACAGAGCAAUGAAGAAUUCAGUUGCCAUUACAAGUCAAGAACAGUCUUAUGACAUCUCUCCAUACAAAGAAUCAGAUGAUGAGAAUGACGAUGACGACAGUAUCAUACCAAAUAGUAAAUUUAUUCCUUCGUGGUCAAGGUAUUUUUUUUUUUCAAUUGUUGUUAUAGAUGGAAUAUGAUCUUCAAAUUAUAGAGCAUCCCAAUAAUCUUAGCGAUGUGUAUCUUAAGGAAUGGCAUAGAUUGCGUACCCUUUGGAACUGUCAACUCGGAUGCACUCCUCUAAAUUGGUUCUGUUUUGUACAGUAAAAACUGCCUGGCUUUCGCUGCUUCUUCCCAGAAUAGAGCAGACCCAGAGACAAUCUUCCCCCCGGAAAGCUUUUGCUGCAUAUCUGAAGGUAUUUUUGUGGUUUAAAGCCAUGGUCUUAGUAGCUACUGCUUUGUCCUUUUGGCUAGUCAAUGUUUAGGUACUGCUGGACUAAGUUCCAAUAUGCUCAUUUGCAGUCCUCUUGCCCCGAAAGCAUCAAUUGAACAACAGCGGAAUGUGCUAAACUAUGUUCAGUUAUAUUCUUCAAUCAGCUAGAAUAUGAGCUUUCAGUCAAGAAGAGGUAAUGUUGCCUUCUCCUUUUCCCUUUCGGUCUCCUAAACUACGUUUAUGCUGGCAGUUUCGUUGUUAAAAGAGCAAUUUUCCUUCUGCAAAAUGUAAAAUGCCCUCAGUUACCGCCUAUCAAAACCAAAAUACUGUAAUAAUUGGUUUUCGUUUCUCCUUGCAGAUUUUCAAAGUCUAUUUGUGAACAGUUUCUUGAGCAGGUGACACCCUUUCAAGCCGAAAUGUAGCUGAAAUGCGCAGAACUUUUUUUUUUUAUGUAUAGGAUUCUGUCGUAAUUGUUAUGCCAGAUAAUUAGCAGAUUGAUUGUUGUUAAGAAGAGUAACAAGUUCCAUUGGCAGAAGGGCAAUUGCCUGAGCUACCGAGUAAUUUGGUCAGCAUCUCAUCUUGCGGCUGCUUUUUUUGGCACCAUGCCCGGUUUACUUUUAACCUCCCAAUCAUCAUCCUCAAGGAUGAUAAGUGACAGCUAGAAAUGUAUAUAUUUUGGUAUGGGGGUAUUGUAAGAUUAUGUAUAGUAUACACAAAUUUAACCAUUAUAAGGUGGCUCAAUGGUUGGGAACGAAUUUUAUAUCCAUAUUUCACAAGACAUGUUCUAAGUUCGAUUUUUGAUGCUGGUGAAUCAUACGAUGGUGGUCGAGAGAGAUUGAAAUGCCUCUGUGAGUCCUAGCCCCCGAAAGGGUGGACAUGGCAAAGUCACUAGCUAGUCCAUUUUUUAAUAAGAUAAAAAAUAUAUAAUACAAAUUUACUACACCAAGUAGUAUAGAACAAUGUGCUUUCUCUUUUACACCCACGUUUGAAUUUCCGUUUUUAUAUCCAUAUUUUAGAUGAAUUUAGUACAGAUUAUCUUAUCUAUUUUUUUUUAAAUCCCGCUUCAUAAAUAAUUUGAUCUGCAAUGUUUAAACUCAAAACUUGAGCGAAACACAGUGAAACGAUUCGAAACUACCUCCACCACAAAUCUUUAACAAAAAGAUGGAAAAGAAAAGGUACAAACGUUUACACGAGAGAAGUUGAAAGGACUUGGAUAGUGAGGGUCAUCUCCACUUUGAAAGUAAUAGCUGAAAGUUGGAAGUUCAGGCAGCCUAAACCAUUCACCAUUGAUGAACACCUCCAAAGAGGGAUAAACAGGGAAACCAGCCCUGCUGAAAGUUUUAAGUACAAAAUUAACCAAAAAAAAAAAAAAAAGCGGUUCAAAGUUCCAACUUUGAUUUCCAUCAAUGAAAGUUGCAAGGAAUUGAAGUAUAUUGCCUCAAUCUUUUCCAUUCAUAUUCUUUGCACACCUCUUGUUCAGAGAAGAACAAACAUUUUGAUGGUCCAUGGAAAAGAAAGAGAUGGCGGCAAAUCCUCUUCUGGCAGGAAUGCAAGACAAUCAAUGAUGCAGAGCUGCUGAGGUCCUUCUCUGGGCAGGAAUUCUGAGAGUGCGUGGUGUUUUGAUCAACAGAUUUCAAACUUGAUAGUCCAGAUGGUGUGAGUGGAAGAGAGCCGCUGUUGUUUGAGCACUGUCUCCAACAGAUCCUCACUUCCCCUGAUCUGAAAUUCUCCAAGGGAGACAUAGCACAGCUCGAUUCCACUGUUAAAAAAUACCCCAUAUUAUAAAUGCAAAUAUAGACUAGGCAAAAUGAAGAAAGCAAAAGAAAAGGAAGGUAAAUUACAAUUUACAAAUCAUCAGUGUUCAACCGAAGAUCGAUAUAUAUUUGUGGUGAAAUCUGUAGAGGAGCAACCAGCAUCCUUGUCAGCAUCCUUGUCAGCCUCCUUGUUUACUAACGCAAUGUACUGGCAUUCAUCCAAACACAAUUAAGUGGUGCUAAAUACAGAUAAGUGUCAAAUUAACUUUGAAUUUUGUUGGAAAAUUUGAGGACAAUCAAUAUAACAUAGCAACAGACAAGUUGUAUAGUUGAAUUACAUUGAUCUAUAAAGGAAGAAUAAAUUACACUCAAGUGUUCAACUACUUACACUGAAAUCUGUAGGCGCAGCAGCUAGCCACCAAGUCUAUUUACCUCCACCACAAAUCUUUAACAAAAAUAUGGAAAAGAAAAGGUACAAACGAUUACACGAGAGAAGUUGUAAGGACUUGGAUAGUGAGGUUCAUCUCCACUUUGAAAGUAAUAGCUGAAAGUUGGAAGUUCAGGCAGCCUAAACCAUUCGCCAUUGAUGAACAGCUCCAAAGAGGGAUAAACAGGGAAACCAGCCCUACUGAAAGUUUCAAGUACAACAACAACAACAACAACAACAAAGCCUUUUCCCACUAAGUGGGGUCGGCUAUAUGAAUCCUAGAACGCCAUUGCGCUCGGUUUUGUGUCAUGUCCUCCGUUAGAUCCAAGUACUCUAAGUCUUUUCUUAGAGUCUCUUCCAAAGUUUUCCUAGGUCUUCCUCUACCCCUUCGGCCCUGAACCUCUGUCCCGUAGUCACAUCUUCGAACCGGAGCGUCAUUCGGCCUUCUUUGCACAUGUCCAAAUCACCGGAGCCGAUUUUCUCUCAUCUUUCCUACAAUUUCAGCUACUCCUACUUUACCUCGGAUAUCCUCAUUCCCAAUCUUAUCCUUUCUCGUGUGCCCACACAUCCCACGAAGCAUCCUCAUCUCCGCUACACCCAUUUUGUGUACGUGUUGAUGCUUCACCGCCCAACAUUCUGUGCCAUACAACAUCGCUGGCCUUAUUGCCGUCCUAUAAAAUUUUCCCUUGAGCUUCAGUGGCCUACGACGGUCACACAACACGCCGGAUGCAUUCUAAACACUUCAUCCAUCCAGCUCGUAUUCUAUGGUUGAGAUCUCCAUCUAAUUCUCCGUUCUCUUUGCAAGAUAGAUCCUAGGUAGCGAAAACGGUCGCUUUUUGUGAUCUUCGCUAGAUUGCUCCGGUCAUUAGUGUGGAUAAGUAUAUAAAUGGAUAGAGAUAGGAAAGCAAACACAAGAUGUACGUGGUUCACCCAUAUAUUGGCUUACGUCCACGGAAUAGAAGAGUUCUCAUUAAUUGUGAAGGGUUUACACAAGUACAUAGGUUCAAGCUCUCCUUUAGUGAGUACAAGUGAAUGAUUUAGUACAAAUGACAUUAAGAAAUAUUGUGGGAGAAUGAUCUCGUAAUCACGAAACUUCUAAGUAUCGGAGUGUGGAGUCGUCUUGACUUGCCUUAUCUGUCUCAUAGGUAGAUGUGGCAUCUUCUCUGGAAGUACUCUUCCUCCAUCCAGGGGUGGUAUCUUUAACUGGUGGAGAUGCACAAGGUAAUGUAUCAAUUUCACUUGAAGCUUACUUGUAGUUUCAGGCUUGGUCAAGCGCGAUACAAACCAUGUAGUAGGAGUCCCCCAAGUCGCCGAGCUAGGGGGUCUGCUGAAAGAGGUGACAGACAAGGUAAGCAAUCAGAGCUCCGACUGAUUGUUCACCUUCUCCCCAUCUUGCAGCAGCAUGAAGGAUAAAGAGAAGAAAAAUGAGAAGAGAUGAUAUGAGAUACUUUUGCUUUUGAAGAAGUAACUUUCCACAGGCUUAUUCUUGAACUGAGGCUGGAGGGUUUUCUGGUUUCCUCCAGAGUAUAAGGCCGACUGAAGAAUUUGAGGGUCAAAACAAGUCCAUCAAAUCUAGAAUACGUUCCACCCUGCUGAUAUGGGAUACUUUUGCUUUUGACAGAGUAAUGGAUGUAUCGGCACGUGUGCUGUUACGCUUGUCUCCACAUGCUUCCUUGUAUCCUUCGCACUUGCCCUAUCUGUUCCUCAAGCAGAUGCAGAAUCUUCCCUGGAAACAUAAGAUGUUGAAGAUGAGUACUCGAGAGCAAUGCCAGGUAAGUAAUCAGGUAAGGGGUUCCAGGCAGUCAGUUCUUGGCUGGAAGCUUGAUUCCAAGUGCUGACUGAUUGCUCUCUCUUUCUCCUUGUCUUGCAGGUAAAAACAAGGCCAAAGGAAAAGACAGGGAAAAAAGCAUGAUAUGGGAUACUCUUGCUUUUAACCCUGAUGAUAUGAGAUAUUCUUGCUCUAGUAUAGGCUUGUUUGCAGAGGUAUUAUCGGGGGGAAAGAAAGCUGAAUAUUUCGAAAGGCUUCGUUGGGAGUGCCCUCUCAGAUAUGAUGAAGGGUUGAGCAUUUUUUGCAGGUCUGCCUGUCCGUUGGGGAUGGAGGUUGACAUAUAUAGGAGUCUCCCUAACAAGUAGUAAUGCUAUUCCUUUACCCUGCUUGGUCAUAGCACGGUAGUGGGAGCUGUCAGUUUCACAUGUUUUAACUCUGUCAGAGCACUUUGAAAAAGUGGUCUGUGGUAUCUGGCUCUCGAGAUUCGGAGAACGAUGCCUCUUCGAUUUUUGAGAAAGCAAUCAUGCUGGGGGUCUGGCUCUCGAGAUUCGGAGAGCAGUGUCUCUUCGAUUUUUGAGGAAGUAAUCAUGUUGGGAGUCUGGCUCUCGAGAUUCGGAGGGCGGUGCCUCUUUCGAUUUUGGAGCAAGCAAUCUUGUUGGGAGUGUUUGUCUCGAAUGUGAGUAAAGGUUGGGCAUGUUUGCUAGUCUACCUUGCCACGAAGCACAAAGGUUGAUACACAGGGACUUUCCAAUUAUCCAGCAAUGGUACUGUUCCUUUUACCCUCUCUUCGAUUUUGAGAAAGUAGUCAUGUUGGGAGUCUGGCUCUCGAGAUUCGAGGACGGUGCCUCUUCGAUUUUGGAGCAAGCAAUCUUGUUGGGAGUGUUUUUUCUCGAAUGUGAGUAAAGGUUGGGCAUGUUUGCUAGUCUACCUUGCCACGAAGCACAGAGGUUGACACACAGGGACUUUCCAAUUAUCCAGCAGUGGUACUGUUCCUUUACCCUUGUGGGUAAUAAUAUGGUAGCUAGACCUUCAAAAUUUAUGGGUCUAAACUUUGUUAGUGCUGUUUCUUUGCUAUUCUUUUACCCUUCUUGGUCAGAGCGAUGUAGUGGGAGCUGCAAGCUUCACGUGCUCAACUUUGGCAGAGAACUUUGGCAAAGUUUUUCUGUGGUACCCCAUGAGCUAUUGUUGCGUGUGGGAAGUGGGUGAUUGAACAGUAAGAUUCAUGUGUUUUCUACUUCCCCAGAAAGUCUUCGACAGAAUGCCCAUAAUUUCCGCAAAGCUGAGUGUGCCGCGUGACAGGUGCUGACAAGGCUGGAAAAAGUAGGUGCCUCUUCGAUUUCUGAGAUCGGCCCUCGUGGUCUCUGGGGGAGCCCCAGCUUUUGAGAAAGCGAGCGCCUCUUCAAUUUCUGAGACCAGCCUUCGUGGUCUUUGAGCAGCCCAACUUUUGAGAAAGCAAACGCCUCUUAGAUUUCUGAGAUCAACCCUCGUGAUCUCUAAGCAGCCCAGCUUUUGAGAAAGCAAAACGCCUCUUCGAUUUCUGAGCAGGCGCCUCUUCGAUUUCUGAAGCUCCGUCGAGUGCAGAUUUUUAUAAGGGCUGGCAUUAAGUUCCAAAGCACACUUGAAUCUCCACCAGUAGAAGCUUCAUUCUUGCACUUCUAAGAUCUUGAUUUGUCCGACCUCUUCUCUCUUCAACACCUUUGAAAAUGUCUGGCCCCUCCGACCGUCGUUUUGACUUGAACCUUGUUGAAGAGGCAGCCCCGCCUUCUCCAGACAACAUAUGGCGCCCAUCCUUCGUCUCCCCUACUGGUCCUCUUACCGUUGGGGAUUCUGUGAUGAAGAAUGAUAUGACCGCUGCGGUGGUGGCCAGGAACCUUCUCACUCCCAAAAGAUAACAGACUACUUUCCAAACGGUCUGAUGAGUUAGCUGUUAAGGAUUCGCUGGCUCUCAGUGUUCAGUGUGCAGGUUCUGUGUCUAAUAUGGCCCAACGCCUAUUUGCUCGAACCCGCCAAGUUGAAUCAUUGGCGGCUGAAGUGAUGAGUCUCAAACAGGAGAUUAGAGGGCUCAAGCAUGAGAAUAAAACAGUUGCACCGGCUCGCACAUGACUAUGCUACAAACAUGAAGAGGAAGCUUGACCAGAUGAAGGAAACUGAUGGUCAGGUUUUACUUGAUCAUCAGAGAUUUGUAGGUUUGUUCCAAAGGCAUUUAUUGCCUUCGUCUUCUGGGGCUGUACCGCGUAAUGAAGCUCCAAAUGAUGAUCAACCUCUGAUGCCUCCUCCUUCUAGGGUUCUGUCCAGUACUUGAGGCUCUAAAUGAUCCCCCUCCGGUGCCUUCUCUUUCUGGGGCUCUACCGACUGCUGAGACUUCUCCUAAGCAACCUUUGUGAAGGCUCCCUCUUGUGUGUUUUUAUUUUGACUCAUGUAUAUGUACAAUAUUUGUAGCUUAUCGGGGAUAUCAAUAAAUAAGCUUUCCUUCAUUUCAACGUAUUGUGUUAAAUACACCAAAGCCUUCUUCGCUAAGUUCUUUGAAUUUUCUUUUGUUGAAGCUUGUAUGUUGAAGCUUUCUGAGUGGAGCAUGUAGGUUGGGGUAGUGUUCCCUUAAUUUUCCGAGUGAGGAAAAACUUCUCGGUUGGAGACUUGGAAAAUCCAAGUCACUGAGUGGGAUCGGCUAUAUGAAUCUUAGAACGCCAUUGUGCUCGAUCCUGUGUCAUGUCCUUCGUUAGAUCCAAGUACUCUUAAGUCUUUUCUUAGAGUCUCUUCCAAAGUUUUCCUAGGUCUUCCUCUACCCCUUCGGCCCUGAACCUCUGUCCCAUCGUCGCAUCUUCUAAUCGGAGCGUCAGUAGGCCUUCUUUGCACAUGUCCAAACCACCGUAACCGAUUUUCUCUCAUCUUUCCUUCAAUUUCGGCUACUCCUACUUUACCCCGGAUAUCCUCAUUCCUAAUCUUAUCCUUUCUUGUGUGCCCACACAUCCAACGAAGCAUCCUCAUCUCUGCUACACCCAUUUUGUGUACGUGUUGAUGUUUCACCGCCCAACAUUCUGUGCCAUACAGCAUCGCCGGCCUUAUUGCCGUCCUAUAAAAUUUUCCCUUAAGCUUCAGUGGCAUACGGCGGUCACAUAACACGCCGGAUGCACUCUUCCACUUCAUCCAUCCAGCUUGUAUUCUAUGGUUGAGAUCUCCAUCUAAUUCUCCGUUCUUUUUUGCAAGAUAGAUCCUAGGUAACGAAAACGGUCGCUCUUUGGUAUUUCUUGAUCUCCGAUCCUCACCCCUAACUCGUUUUGGCCUCCAUUUGCACUGAACUUGCACUCCAUAUAUUCUGUCUUUGAUCGGCUUAGGCGAAGACCUUUAGAUUCCAACACUUCUCUCCAAAGGUUAAGCUUUGCAUUUACCCCUUCCUGAGUUUCAUCUAUCAACACUAUAUCAUCUGCGAAAAGCAUACACCAAGGAAUAUCAUCUUGAAUAUGUCUUGUUAACUCAUCCAUUACCAACGCAAAAAAGGUAAGGACUUAAGGAUGAGCCUUGAUGUAAUCCUACAGUUAUGGGAAAGCUUUCGGUUUGUCCUUCAUGAGUUCUUACGGCAGUCUUUGCUCCUUCAUACAUAUCCUUUAUAGCUUGGAUAUAUGCUACUCGUACUCCUUUCUUCUCUAAAAUCCUCCAAAGAAUGUCUCUUGGGACCCUAUCAUACGCUUUUUUUCCAAAUCUAUAAAGACCAUGUGUAAAUCCUUUUUCCCAUCUCUAUAUCUUUCCAUCAAUCUUCGUAAGAGAUAGAUUGCCUCCAUGGUUGAGCGCCCUGGCAUGAACCCGAAUUGGUUGUCCGAAACCCGUGUCUCUUGCCUCAAUCUAUGCUCAAUGACUCUCUCCCAGAGCUUCAUUGUAUGACUCAUUAGCUUAAUACCCCUAUAGUUCAUGCAAUUUUGUACGUCGCCCUUAUUCUUGUAGAUAGGCACCAAAGUGCUCGUUCGCCACUCAUUUGGCAUCUUCUUCGUUUUCAAAAUCCUAUUGAAAAGGUCAGUGAGCCAUGUUAUACCUGUCUCUCCCAAAAGUUUCCACACUUCGAUUGGUAUAUCGUCUGGGCCUAUUGCUUUUUUAUGCUUCAUCUUCUUCAAAGCUAACAACCACUUCUUCCUUCCGGAUUCGACGAUAAAAAGAGUAGUUUCUACACUCUUCUGAGUUACUCAACUCCCCUAAAGAAGCACUCAUUUCAUGUCCUUCAUUGAAAAGAUUAUGAAAAUAACCUUUCCAUCUGUCUUUAACCGCGUUCUCUGUAGCAAGAACCUUUCCAUCCUCAUCCUUGAUGCACCUCACUUGGUUUAGGUCCCUUGUCUUCUUUUCCCUUGCUCUAGAUAGUUUAUAGAUAUCCAACUCUCCUUCUUUGGUAUCUAGUCGUUUAUACAUAUCGUCGUAAGCCGCUAACUUAGCUUCUCUGACAGCUUUCUUCGCCUCUUGCUUCGCUUUUCUAUACCUUUCACCAUUUUCAUCGGUCCUCUCCUUGUAUAAGGCUUUACAACAUUCCUUCUUAGCCUUCACCUUUGUUUGUACCUCCUCAUUCCACCACCAAGAUUCCUUUUGGUGUGGGGCAAAGCCCUUGGACUCUCCUAAUACCUCUUUUGCUACUUUUCGGAUACAACUAGCCAUGGAAUCCCACAUUUGGCUAGCUUCCCCCUCUCUAUCCCACACACAUUGGGUGAUUACCUUCUCUUUGAAAAUGACUUGUUUUUCUUCUUUUAGAUUCCACCAUCUAGUCCUUGGGCACUUCCAAGUCUUGUUCUUUUGUCUUACUCUUUUGAUAUGUACAUCCAUCACCAACAAGCGAUGUUGAUUAGCCACGCUCUCUCCUGGUAUAACUUUGCAAUCCUUACAAGUUAUACGAUCCCCUUUCCUCAUAGUUCAAAGUUCCACUUUGAUUUGCAUCAAUGAAAGUUGCAAGGAAUGUGAACUAUAUUGCCUCAAUCUUUUCCAUUCAUAUUCUUUGCACACCUCUUGUUCAGAGAAGAACAAACUUUUUGGUGAUCCUCGGAAAAGAAAGAGAUGGCGGCAAAUCCUCUUCUGGCAAGAAUGCAAGACAAUCGAUGAUGCAUAGCUGCUGAGGUCCUUCUCCAGGCUGGAAUUCCGAGAGUGCGUGGUGUUUUGAUCCACAGAUUUCAAACUUGAUUGUCCAGAUGGUGCGAGAGGAAGAGAGCCGCUGUUGUUUGAUCAAUGUCUCCAACAGAUCCUCACUUCCCCUGAUCUGAAAUUCUCCAAGGGGGAUAUGCCAUUCCCCUGUUAAAAAAUACCCGAUAUUAUAAAUGCAAAUAUAGACAAGGCAAAAUGAAGAAAGCAAAAGAAAAGGCAAAUUACAAUUUACAAAUCAUCAGUGUUCAACCGAAGAUUGAUGCAUCCUUCUGGUGAAAUCUGUAGUGGAACAACCAGCCUCCUUGUAUAGUAACGCAAUGUACUGGCAUUCGUCCAAACACAGUUAAGUGGUGCUAAAUACAGAUAAGUGUCAAAUUAACUUUGAAGACAAUCAAUUUUGUUGGAAAAUUUGAGGACAAUCAAUUUAACAUAGAUACAGAUAAGUGGUACUAAAUACGUACCUGGCUUUGUCUGGAGAGUAGAGAGUUGGAGAGAGUUGGUGCCAAUAAGCCCUGCUCUCUUCAUCCAUGGUGUUUGUAGACAAAAAUAUGUGUAUGCAGCUACCACAAGAUGACAGAGGCAUUGAAAGAUGAGUAAGCAUUCCGCCAUAUGGAAACCGCAGCAGUAUAUAUAUACACAAGUACCUGAGUGGUUGAUGUAAGCUAACAUCGUUUUCCCUCUGAUAAUCCUAUCUUCACAGUUCAAUAGUUUUCUCUCUGGACCGACGAAGUCCCACAUACAUUCAAUCUUUAUAUAGCUGUUCAAGAGAGCUGAGGUCUAGAGGUCCCUGUCCUGGAAGGAAUUGCGAGAGUGGGAGGUGUUGAAAGUCCAUUUCCAUCCAAAAUAUUUCAAAAUUGACGGUCCAGAAAAUCAGAGCACCAUUUGAUAAUCCCAUCUUUACAGGUUUGCUUGCUCGCUGCAUCAAUUAAACCGAUAUAUCUGUUAGUCCCAUCACAUCUACCAGAAGAUUACAGUUAUGGUGCAAACGGGAGAAGUAUGAGAAAUCAUCCAGGGAUUUACCUCUUCUCAUGCAGGAGAAUCAUAUAUAUCGACUCCAAGUAGUUCCACAGUAUCAGACUACAAAUAAUUCACUCCCCUCGCACUCUCCUGUAAUUUCAUCUGAAACUCUGAUUUAAGCUGGAAUAUUGCUGAGGACAAUCAAUUUAAUAAUAAAUAAAAGUACCUGGCUUUUGUCUUGAGAGUUGAGAGUUGGAGAGAGUGAAAUGAAAGCUCAUAUGAUGGUGAUUUCAUCAUCUAUGUUUAUGCAAGGAAUGCGAGCUAUGUUUCUCCAAUCUUUUCCCUUCUUGUUCCCAUACCUCUUCUUCAGAGAAGGACAGCCCCGGAUCCUCAGAUAAGAAAGAGAUGCCGGCAAACCCUCUUUUGGCAGGAAUUUGAGACUCUCGCAGCCUGAAAUUUGUAGCUGUUGAAGAGAAGUGAGGUGCUCAAAUCCCUUUCCGUCCAAAGAUUUCAGAUUCGAUACAUCAGAGAUUUCGAGAGUGCGAAGAGUGGCAGGGAGAAGUUGUUCAUUGAGCAACGUCUCCACCAGAUCCCAGUUAACGAUAGAUAAUGUUUGUAGGUUGGGAGGCAAACCCCCUUGUGCAAAUGACACCACAUUUGGAAGACACUCUAUCGACAAAUGUUGAAGGGCGGUGAGGGUGUGCAUUCGGUCCGGCAACAACUUCAAAUUCACGCAAUGGUCUACUGAAAAGUAGGUCAGGUUGGGAGUGGGCAAUCCUCCGUCAGGAAAAGAGACAAGAUUUGGAAGACUGCCUAUCAAUAACCUUUGAAGGGCGGUGAGGGUGUGCAUUCGGCCCGGCAACAACUUCAAAUUCUCGCAGUUGUAGACAUGAAAGAAAGUGAGGUUGGGAGUGGGCAAUCCCCCGUCGGGAAAAGAGACAAGAUUUGGACAGUACCUGACAUCCAGGGAGUUGAGAUUUUCAUCUGCUCCUCCUUCAACUGAAAGAGAUUCCAGAUUCUGACAACGCAUUAUACGAAGAGAUGAAAGGCUGGGGAAAAUGCCCAAAGGGAACGACCUCAGAGAAUCACAGCUCUCGGAUAGAUGCAAAGACUGAAGGGAAGUCAAUUUGGCCAUCAUCUCACCUGAUAGAAAUUCUAAUUUCUUGCAAUUUACUAUACGGAGUGACGUCAGCGUGGUGGGCAGACCAUUUGUAGGGAACGACAAGACUGAGGAACAUUCAUAUAAAGUCAAACUUUGAAGACGAUUAGCGUUGUGCAUCAUUUGCGCCGACCACUCUUUCCCACCAACAAAUUCAAUACCAAGCUUCUGAAGCGACGGCAGCGUCUCCGUCGACUCUAGUAACAAUGAGAGACCCGGGCAUCGCCGUAUUGUCAGUUUUUCAAGAGAUCCUCGUAAGGAAUCCCUGUUCAGGGUAUUACUGGCCCUGUUUUCAUGUAGAACCUCACAAUUGUACACAUCAAGUGUUUUCAAGGAAGGAAGAUGAGUGGGCAGGUCUCCUCUCAGCUUCGGACACCAACUUAACCUCAGCUCCUUAAGACGAGGAAAGUCUGGACUUUCACCUCCACUUGGACUAGGCUGCCAUUCCUCCCACUCUGGCAUCUCCCGAAACUCUAGCUUCUCUAAACAUUGAAAUGGUUGAUUUCCCCCGUACAACUCACCACCAACACUCUUAACAACUUUCAUCCUUUCUACGUAGAGCUCUUUCAGAGCAGGUAGCUGACCAACUGGUGGCAGUGAACUGCAAUUACCACAGUCGCUGAGACGCAUCACUUGUAAGUUGGAGAAGGACGAGUCUCCCACCCAAUUCGGGAAACUGAUUCCGCCAUAAAACCUGAUGGUUAGCUUCACCAAAUUUACCGCAGGUUGAAGUCUUUCGAGCACAUAUCUCUCUUUUACGGAAUCAUUGGAAACCACACGACCCCAUGACAACUCUACCUCGUUGAGAUCUUUCUUAUCCUUCAGCAAGGCAUCAAUAGCACCGACUACAUUUUGCAGAUUCAAGAUAGAAAUUUUUCCUCCAAGGUGCGACAACUCCCUCAGCUCUGCAAUGCUUGACCCAGUAGAUUUCCCCAACACAAAAGCUGUCAGUGUUCUCAAACUUUUUAGUCUACCCAUAUGCACCGGCAUCUCUUUUAUUUUAGUUCCACCGAUAUCAAGAUGACGCAAAUGAAUCAAUUUCCUCAUGUCUGCAGGCAAUUCAACAAGAGAAGAACAACCUUUCAACAAUAGAGUUUGUAAAUUGUAGAGAGUACACACUGUAUCUGGUAACCUUUUAAUUGGCGUAUAAGAGAGAUCAAUGUAGCGCAAGUGCAUGUGGUUACCAAUGGAAUCAGGUAAGUGAGUGAUAUUCAUAUAUCUUGAUAAUGAAAUUGCCCGUAAACAUUUUUGUGCUGGCAAUAAAUCAUCUAGAAUCUUAUUGCUUACAUAUCCACCAUUCCAACUAUAAUGUGGUGGUAAAGACACUGGAAAGAAGGUACGCAAAUACUUAACUCCUUUUAAUGGCUCAAAUAUUGGAGAUGUAUCAAAUUUUCCUCUCAUAUAUGACAAGUGGCGAACCUUUUUAGAAACUUCGUGCGAAUUUUUUUGAUCCAACCUAAAACAAAACUCUCCAGACACAAACAUAGCCAAGUCAUUAAUAAGAUCAUGCAUAGUGAAACUUGGUUUAUCCAAUCUUGGUCUUUGAAAUAGUGAACGCGAUAACAGUUCAUUAAAGUACCUUUCACCAACCUCCUCCAUUGCUUUCUUGCUCUCUAAUUGUGGAAUUAAACCUUCUGCCACCCAUAGUAGAAUAGCAUUUUCCUUUUCAAACUCAUAGUCCUUUGGAAAAAUUGAGCAAUAAGCAAAGCAUCGUUUCAAGUAAGCCGGAAGAUAAUGGUAACUCAAUCUUAGAGAAGGAAGAAGACUAUUAGGGUGUGGCAGAUCCCAUAGAUUACUAUCCAAUAUGUGAUUCCACUCCUUGUAGUCUAGGUUGCAACUUAAGAGACCCCCUAGCGUUUUUGCAGCUAGAGGCAAACCGUUGCACUUACAUGCAAUUUGCUUACCAAUUUCAACCAAGUCUGGAUGUGCACCGGGGUUUUCAUUUCUAAAUGCAUGUUUUUCCAGUAACGACCAACAGUCUUCAUCCGACAAUUCUUUUAAAUCGUGAAUAGGAAUAGUAUUGUGCACGAUGGCUGCAACACGUCUGCUCCUUGUUGUUACAAUGACUUUGCUUCCCUUUGCCCCAUACGUGAAAAGAAUUCGUAGACGCUCCCAGUCAUCAUAGUUUUCAUUCCAAAGGUCAUCCAAGACAAGUAAAAAUCUCUUUCCACUCAGUUGUUCCCUUAGUUGAACUUCAAGGGAAUUCAUUUCCAAAUUGUCACAAGGCUUUUUAGUGAUUUCCUCAAUAAGGACCUUAAUCACCCUCAAAGCCUCAUACUGUUCGGAAACACAAACCCAAGCAUGAGUGUCAAAGUGCUUUUUAACUCGUUCAUCGUUGAAAAGGAGUUGAGCAAGAGUUGUCUUACCAACCCCGCCCAUACCGACUAUAGGGACUACAGAAAAAUUACUGCUACUUUCAUUGUCAGAUAGCAGCAGUAGAUCUUUUAACUUGUCUUUAUCUCCAUCCCUACCAUAGGUAUAAAAUCCGCCCUCAACAACAGAAGUUGUGGGAGUUCUUUGUGAAACAUUGCCUCCAACAACAUCUUCUCUAAGACGGAGGAUAUCUUUUUGAUUUGCAAGGUGUUCCAACUUCUUGAAUAAAACUUCUAUCCUACCAUUCAUGCCUUUAUAAUUAAAAGGUUUACGACAGGUAGAAAGGAAGUUCCACACCUGGGUUUUCUUAGUCUGAUCUUUCGCCUUGCGACGCGAAACUUCAGUAUCGAUCUCAUCCACCAAGUCCUCGGCCUCGAACACAGCAUGUUUGAGCUCAUCAAGCCACUUCCCGACGUCGGGGUUGACAAUCUGCUUCUCCUCUGCGUCGUUGAGCACUGCACGGAGAUUCACCAACUUCAUCUUCAGUGUGUCCAGGAGUGAAUAGUCGAGUCUUCUUGCCCGGAAGAAGUCUAUGAACUCUCCGGAGGCAAUCUUGUCGCACAGCACCUGGAUGGAACCGGAGAGCAAAGCCUCUCCAACGAAAGCCAUUUUCUCUUCUUAGCAAAAGGAGUAAUUUUGAUCAAGUAUUUGGAGUUGAGAAACUGAAAAUUAUUCUUGGAAAAGCCUGUAAGAUUACUUCAUGACUGGUGAGACGACUUGAUCUUUUUCUUGGUCAAUAAUGCAGUGGACCACACGCGGCAAACAUGAAGUAGAAAUUGGUGGAGGUUGGAAAACGUUACCAUCCAACAUUAAUUUAUUAAUUAUUUUCUUCCAUGAAAAAAAUCGUUGCUGGUCAUGAAAAUUGGUGGAGGUUGGAAAACAUUACAUCAACCAUUAAUUUAUUUAUUACUUUCUUCCCCUUGUGGAAUAAAUUUUUAGUUGUGACCGGAAUACGAAUAUACACCACAUGUUUUUAUACAAGAAGUAAAAAUUUUUAAUUUUUAAGUUAUUAACAAUUUAACACACAUAACCCACCAUUUAUAUAAGGACACAUGAUGUAUCACCUCGUGUAACGGUCAAAUCAAUAAAAGUGUUCCCUGAGAUUGUCCAUCAUCCAUCAUUUUAGCCAUUCUGUUAAAAAUUCAAUUAAGUGUUUCAGAGCACUUGGCCGGAAAUUUGAGCAAGUUUCAAAGCUUCGUAACUCAAUCAUUUCUUAACCAAAUUCGACUCACAAUAUAUCAAAAUGAAGAUCGUAAAGUGUAGACUAAGAUUGUACCUAUUUGGAAGCCCAAUGGUUGCCGUAGAUGGCCAGAAAAUAGCCUCAAAGUUGCCUGGUCUAAGGGAAAACUUGAAAACUCGCCAGAAACUGGUAAAUCGUUCAUAACUUCUUCAAUACUCAACGAAAUCAAGUGAUUCAAAAAAGAAAAUCAUACUUCUUAAUGAGACGAAGAGAAUGCUACCUUUUUUAGAUGGCUAAAUAGUCGUGGUUUGGUCGGAAAAGGCUCAAAAAUAGCUAUCUUGGUCUCAAGUUAGCCAUCUUCGAGCCGUUUUCCAGCCAAACCACGGCGAUUUAGCCGUCUAAAAAUAUACCAUUCUAUUUGUCUCGUUGAGAAGUAUGAUUUUUGUUUUUGAAUCACGUAAUUUCGUUGAGUAUUGAAGAAGUUAUGAACGUUUAAAGUUUAUCCAGUUUCUGGCGAGUUUUCCAGUUUUUCCUCAAACCAGUCAACUUUGAGGCUAUUUUCCGGCCAUCUCCGGCAGCCAUUGGGCUUCCAAAUAGGUAUAAUCUUAUUGUACACUUUCUUAUCUUUAUGUUGAUAUAUUAUGGGUCGAAUUUGAUUAAGAAACAAUUGAGUUACAAAGCUUUGAAAAUUGCUCAAACUUCUGGCCAAGAGUUUUAGGACACUUAACGGAGUUUUUAACAGAAUGAUCAAAAUGAUGGAUAGUGGACAAUCUCAUGGACCACUUUUAUUGAUUUGAAAUGUUAGGGACCAAAGUGAUGAGUUAUGCAAAUCUCAAGGACCAUUUUGGCUAUUUAGCCUAUUUUCUAUUCUGAUUAUUUAUUUUCUGUAACACGUACUAUAUGCUUUUUGAAGAAAAAUUGAAAAGUUUGUACUUUUUCUUGCUCUGCCAAUCUGUCUAUGUAUUCAACAUGCAUGGAACCAUUCAAGUUUGGGAUUUGGUUUGCAUCAGCAAUGCACUUUACAUCAUGAAUUUGAUUAUGGGAUAAAAUUUUUAGUGUACCUAAAACAUUAUCCGGUAUAUCAAGUAUAAUAAUAUAAUUGGUUGAAAAUUUUGUUUCUUCAAGUUUCUAAUCCAAUUGUCUUGUUACACUUGGUAUAACAAACCGUGUUCCUAACACAUUGAUAAAUCUCUCCACACAUCAGGAGGCCUAAAAUCUAUCAGUCUUGUUACACUUGGUAUAACGGUUAUAAUUAUUAUAACAUUUAAAUGGACAUUUCUAUUUGUAGCCGUUAAAUAAAAAUCCAGCGAUCCGCAUGUGUUGAUCAGGAGGAUCCGCUACUUAUUUGGCUGGCGCGUGCAGCACACUCGCGACUGUGCGUGAGUAGGAGACAAGGGUGCAUACGGUGGGGCCCGCUUAUCAGCCCACUUGUGUUCACCCGAAUUAGAGCUACGUGGCCCUCCUCAGUGUCGUUGGAUUUCCAACGGCUAGUUUUUGUAGACCGUUGGAUUUCCAACGGUAAAAAAAAUUUAAAUUUGACUUUUAAAAUGAACCAUCUGAUCACAGAUCAACGGUCCACAUUUUUUUCACAAAAAAUAAAAAUAAAAAUAAUUAAAAAAAGGCCCAACGGUCAGAAUUAUGACCGUUGGCCACGUGGCAACGCCUUGGCUCCUGGAUUUGAAUAUUUUUCAAAUCCAACGGUCCAGAUUAAUUAUCUAUAUUAAAAUUUAUUAAAAAUUAUGAAAAAAUACAGAAAAAUUAUUAAAAAAUAUAGAAAAGUUUUAAAAAAGUUUUUUUUUUUUUCUAUAAAUACCUAACUCUCAUCUUCUACCUUACACCACAUUUCAAUAUUUUCUACACUUUCUACCAAAGCUUUCAUAUACUUUUUGUGUGAAAAAAAAAAACCAAAAAGCUCAUCCUUAAUGAAUUGAUCGUUUAGCGGUACACUGAUGUGCAAGAGCUAUAUUGGCACGUAACCCGCCAUAAUGACUUGAUUGAGCACUAGUGGAGAUUGCAAGAAGGUGAAGAUAAUUAAAAUAAGCUUGUGGUUGAAGAAUAAAGUGUAUUUGAUGAGUUUAAUGUAAUUUCAUUUUAAUGUGUUUUUUUUUUUAGUUUAUUUGAUGAGUUUAUGUAAUUUUUUUUAGUGUGUGUUUUUUUAAGUUUAUUUGAUGAGUAUGUAAUUUUAUUUUAGUAUGUUUUUUUUAAGUUUAUUUGAAAUUUUAUCCGAAAUUGGUUAAAAAUCUUAUUUGAAAAUAAUUUUAUUUUAUUCUUUAAAAAAAAGAUAUAUAAUAUUUUAAAUGGGCUAGGUGACAGCGCAUUUUGUAGGGAUGAAGAUCGUUUAUGCCAUCGCAUUUUUAGACUGGGUGCCAGUGCAUUUUUUUAAGGGUGGAGAUGUUUUAGCCUAUUACUGUUCACUAUGGUUUAUUACUAUUCGCUUGAGUAGAUAAAUGCGCUGGAUGUUGGCGCAGAGUAUUUAGGUGUGGAAUUGCUCUAAAAAGAACCACGCAAUAAUACAUUUGGAUCUCAACAUUUUUCCAUAGGAUAAGGAUUGUCUGCCCUUCCACUUUUCAUGCCCUUCUAUGCCCUCCUGUUUGUUUGUGUGGUCACGGUUAAGCCACGUCAAUAUUUUAUAUUAUUAUUUAUUUUUAUCUUAUUAUCUCUAUAAAAUAAAGAAUAUAAAAUGUUAACGUGGCUUAACCGUGAUCACAUAAAACAAAAAGGCGGGCAUGGAAAAUGAAAGUGCAAACAAUCCUUGUCAUUUUCCAUAUGAUAUGAUUCCAUGUCCCCACCAUCGUCUUGUCACAUGGCAUCGUCUUGUCACCAUCUUGUCAUUAUUUCUAAUCUGGUUCUAAUUCCAAGGGGAACAUCUUCGUGUGAAAAAUAAAGUAAAAGUUUCGGGCAGGACCUUAAUGUUGGGUUCAAUUUCUACAUUUAUUAUUUACAUUUUUUACUUUUAAUCUCAACCGCUUAUUUUCUACAACACUCAUUACCACGUGCUAUGGAAAAAAAAAAAGAAAUUGAAAAGUUUCUUACUUUUUCUUGCUUUGCCUAUAUUUUCAACAUUUAUGGGACCAUUCGUGUUUAGGAUUUGGUUUGCCUAUAUGUUCAACAUUCAUGGGACCAUUCUGCUUUGCCUAUACUUUCUUGCGUUAACCAAUUUUAAGUCAGGUUAACAUGUUUUUGCACAAAACUAAUUAAGAACACACUCGAGCUGCAUAUUUAUAUUGUCAAAUUAUCGAAUUUAAUGUCACAUAAUUAAACAAAAGUAUACGUUUAUCGUUCUUUAAUUUAGAUUAACAGUGCGCUCCCUCUUUUACAUCUAAAUUUGAACCUUCAUUCUUAACUUUGCAAUUUAGAUGAGUUUAAUAUAAAUUAUCUUAUCGUUUGUUAAAAAACUCAUUUCUUAAAUAAUUAGAUGUGAUAUGUUUAAAUGCAAAUUUGUAACAAAACAAUGGAAAAGAAUAAAUAAAAAUGCAUAAGUACAAAUGUUCAUGGAAGCAAAGGUCUCGAAAACAUAUAUACUCCACAAAAUCUAGCACUAGAGUAUUGAGCCUAGAUAAUAUAACCUCUUCCCCAAUACUAAUUUAUAGCUGAUUUAUUUUGUGAUUUAGUUAAAAUUGCCAAUUCUCAUUAUCCUAAUUUCAUCAAAAAUAAAAUUAGAUAAUACCUUUAAAUUAACCACAAAAAUAACAAAACCGCAUCAAAAUCCUAAUUUUCAAUUCCACUGCAGAGAGAAAUCGAGUAGAUCCCCAUAUCCCCCAAUAAAAUGAAACAUGCAAAUGAGAAUUCAAUAAUUACAACUCAAAUUAAUAGCUUAUGCUUUCAUAGACAUCUGAAUUAUUGAAAAUUUACCCAUGUAGCCCCAGUUAGUCGAAAUCGAUCGAGCAUGAGAGAUUUUCUUUCAUAGACAUUUGUUUUAUAGACAUCUGCUUUCAAACGAGCAUGAGCGACUCGUGUAAAACAAGAUAUAGAUUAAUUUCGACGACAUGCAUCACAUGGUAAACUAUUAGAAUUGGAUAUCUACUUUUCCCUACAAUAAUAAUGAGGUGUUGUUAUUGGAACUCACAAUCAAAAUAUAAUUAUCAUUCAUUUUUCUCUCUUCGUGGCCGAAGGACUAAUUUGGAUCAAGUAUUUGAAGUUGGGAAACUGAAAAUUGUUCUUGGCAAAGGCUGUUAAGAUUACUUCAUGACUGGUGAGUGGUGAGACGACUGAUAUUUUUCUUGGUCAAUAAUGCAGUGGACCACACACGGCAAACAUAAAGUAGAAAUUGGUGGAGGUUGGAAAAAUACAGUAAAAAAAAUCAUGCAAUAUAUUUGAAUUUCACCAUUUUUCCAUAUGAUAUAAUCACAUGGGCCCCACUAUUCUCUUGUCACCACCCUCUUGGCAUCGUAUUGUCACCAUCCUCCACGAUCCUCUUGUCAUUAUUCUACUCUUAUUCCAAGGAGGCAGAUUUUAUGUCUUUCUAUUUUUCGUGCCCUUCUAUACUUUCUUACUUGUAUAGUUACGGUUAAAUCACAUCAACAUUUUAUAUUAUUAUUUUUUUUAUCUUAUUAUAUUUAUAAAAAAAUUAUAUAAAAUAUUGACGUGACUUAACCGUGAUCACACAAAACAAAAAGGCACAUAAAGACACACAAAGUGGGAGGCCAGAUAAUCUGCCUCCUUAUUCCAAAACAUCUACAUGUAAAAAAAAUAUAAUAAGAUCAAUUACCACACGACAAUGAAACAUUGAAUAUCUCAAAAUUGCCCCUUUUAUUACAGAUUAUAAAAAAUAAAAAAAAAGUAAGGACAUGAUGGUAAAACGUGGCAAGGAGAGAAAGUGGAGGAAAGAAACUAGAACGUGCUUAAAGAAAUAAAAGUGUAUUUGAAGCAGUUGUCGUAUUAAUAUCUCAUUCCAAUAUCACUUCUCCUUGCGCUCCAACUUCUCCCGUUCCCUGCAUUCCUCCAGUUUCUCUCUAUGGGUCUUACUUUUCCAUACAAAAACGGAAUCUUUACCUUUAUCUCUUAUGUAAAAUAGAGCACCAAAAUGGGCAAUCUCAAAGUGCUGCAGAGAUACGAUCCCUUCAUCAAAAAGGUUCUGAUUAUGGCUGCCUACGUCACAUUCUACUAAUUCAACAUUGAGAACAAUCAAUGGGUUCGUUUCUCGAAUUGUAACUUCCAAUUAUCCGUUUGGUUGCCCAGAAAAAAAAAAAAAAAAAACACCACAAUUAAUUCUACGAACAACGGAAAUUUGAAAUAUGAAGUGUGAAUCAAUAGGUGGAAAUGUGACACUGAUGUUGGCAAACUUUAUGGUCUUCAAUCUUGAUAAUUUAUGCACACAUUGGAAUCCAUACUUCAUAUGUUCACUUAUAUUUGUUGAUCUCUUGGCACAUCUGUACUAAAUUGUUUGGUAUUAGCCAUUUUCUUUGAUUCAUAUUUCAAUUUUGUAAGUAGCAAGAAUACCUUAGUAAAUGAAAAUAUCAAAAAUAAAAUAAAAAUUGUAAACAGUGCCAAGCGCAUGUAAUUAUAAAAUUGUAAGUCAAUCAUAGCACGUCUGAUUAAAAGCCUCUAAUCCUACCCAUUGUUAACAAUGAUAAACAACUAACGCCACAUAUUUUAGGGGCACGUAGCUCCUAUGAUUUAAAAAUGUCUCUCACAUGAAGCGAACGGAACGUAUCAAAAUCCAUGCAACCUCCUAAUAAAAUUAAAGGAGCUUUAAUGAAAAGGGUUUGAGGCUAAGCUAUUAUUUAACCAAAAAAUCACCAUAAGCUAUUAUUUAACCAAAAAAGCUUCAUAUUUAAUCAUAAGGACAAACUAACUUAUAUUAGACCCAACAAACAGUAAAAGACAUGGGCUGAAUUAAAAGCCCAAAAUGCAAUAAUUUUUUUUUCCAGCCCUGAUUGUAGCAUUAAGUGAUUUGACUCUUAAAUAAAUACAAAAAUAAGCUAUUAUCAUCAAUGUUACCUAUUAUUCAUGUUUUAAAUAGGAAUGCAUCUUAUUAAUCAAGCAACAUGAAUAAAAUCAAAUUAAUCUUAUAGUUCGACUACAAAGCAAAAAUAGCACAUGAAAUUAAAAUUACGUAGUAGCAAUAUACCAUACAAGUCGCCUUGUUAUUUUUUUUAUACAAAUCAAUUUGGAAAUCUUAUUAUUUUUAUUCUCAUCCUGUAAUGUUGCACGAUUAUUUGAACUGUUUAUGUUUAGAUCGUCAUUUAAAAACCAUCUCUACAAAAAGCUAAAUGCAUUCAAAAGUUUUUGCUCAUGUAAUGAUUAUUCAAUAAUUCUUUUGAACACUGAAAUUAUAUUAUUCUAAAAUGGUUUGACGAUAUCUUGUUUGGUUCUUUUGUUGCAAAGUUGCUCUUUAAAUAGUGGCCUAGAUAACAUACGGUUUUGAUUCUUGAGUGACAUUGCUUGAUCACAAAAAAGAAAUGAGAUAGUAGAAAGAAAAAAAAAUCACAAUAGAUUAACCAAAAUAAUUUGGUUCAAAUUUACCUUUAACGAGAAUUAAACUUAAGAUUUCUCAUAUGAAAAUUGUAGUACUAGAAUGUGAAGUUUUUUGGUAAAAGAAAUGAAGGAAAUAAAAUAGCUGGCAUGACAUCAUACUCACCAAUCACGAUGUAUAUGUUCCAUACAUGUGGGGUCUUGGCCUUCCAUUUUUCCUUAUCCGGUCAAUUACUAAGCUAGGUUAGGUUCGGGCAUUGUUAGCAAGUGGUACAUUACAUUUUCAUGGAAGCAUAAUCACGACUCAGGAAGAGGAAAAAGGAAAUAAAAAGCCACUAGAAAUGUAUAUAUUUUCCCAUGGGUGUGUUGUAAGAUUAUGUAUAUUAUAUACAAAUUUAACCAUUAUGAGGUGAUUAAGUGAUUGGGAACGAAUUUUAGACCCAUAUUUUACACGGCAUGUUCUAGGUUAGAUUUUUUGCUCUAGUGAAUCAUACGAUGAUGGCCAGAGGGAUGCCGAAACACUUUUGUGAGUCAUUCUAACCCGGAAAGGGUGGACAUGGCAAAACCACUAGAUAGUUCCCUUUUUAAAAAGAUAAAAAAUAUAUAUACACAAAUUUGCUACACCAACUAGUAUCGAGAAGUCCACAUAAGGUUUGAUUACAAAAGUUAAACUUAAAAGCCGCAGACUUGGGUGGCUAGAGCAAUGUGCUUACUCUUUUGCACCCAAGUUCAAAUCUCCGUUUUCAUAUCUAUAAUUUAGAUGAAUUUAGUAUAGAUUAUCUUAUCGUUUUUUUUUUUUUUAAAUCCUGCUUCAUGAAUAAUUCGAUAUGAUAUGUUUAAACGUAAAACUUGAGUGAAACACAGUGAAAUGAUUAGAAACCAUCUUCACCACAAAUCUGUAACAUAAACAAUUGAAAAGAACAAGUACAAAUGUUUAUAUGAGAGAAGUUGUAAGGACUUGGAUUGUGAGGGUCAUCUCCACUUUGAAAGUAAUAGCUGAAAGUUGGAGGUUCAUGCAGAUUAAACCAUUGGCCAUUGACGAACACCUCAAAAGAGGGAUGAACAGGGAAACCAGCCCUGCUGAAAAUUUUAAGAACAAAAUUAAAAAAUAAACGGUUCAAAGUUCCGAUUUUGUUUUGCCAAUGAAAGUUGCAGGAACGUGAACUAUAUUGCCUCAAUCUUUUCCAUUCAUUUUCUUUGCACACCUCUUGUUCAGAGAAGAACAAAUAUUUUGGUGAUCCUCGGACAUGGCGGCAAAUCCUCUUCUGGCAGGAAUGCAAGACAAUCGAUGAUGCAUAGCUGUUGAGGUCCUUCUCCGGGCAGGAAUUCCGAGAUUGCAUGGUGUUUUGAUCCGCAGAUUUCAAACUUGAUCGUCCAGAGGGUGUGAGCGGAAGAGAGCCGCUGUUGUUUGAGCAAUGUCUCCAACAGAUCCUCACUUCCCCUGAUCUGAAAUUCUCCAAGGGAGACAUAGCAUAGUUCGAUUCCACAGUUAAAAAAUACCCGAUAUUAUAAAUGCAAAUAUAGACAAGGUAAAAUGAAGAAAGAAAAAGAAAAGAAAGGUAAAUUAUAAUUUACAAAUCAUCAGUGUUCAACCGAGAAUCGAUAUAUAUCCUUCUGGUGAAAUCUGUAGCGUAACAACCAGCCUCCUUGUAUAGUAACGCGAUGUACUGGCAUUCGACCAAACACAGUUAAGUGGUGCUAAAUACAGAUAAGUGUCAAAUUAACUUUGAAGACAAUCAAUUUUGUUGGAAAAUUUGAGGACAAUCAAUUUAACAUAGCAACAGAUAAGUGGUACUAAAUACGUACCUGGCUUUGUCUUGAGAGUUGAGAGUUGGAGAGAGUGAAAUUAAGGCUCAUAUGGUGAUUUCAUCAUCUAUCUUUAUGCAAGGAAUGCGAGAUAUGUUCUCCAAUCUUUUCCCUUCUUGUUCCGAUACCUCUUCUUCAGAGAACCCCAGAUGCUCAGAUAAGAAAGAGAUGCCGGCAAACUGCAAACUCUCUUUCGGCAGGAAUUCAAGACUCUCGCAGCUUGAAAUUCGUAGCUGUUGAAGAGAAGUGAGGUGCUCAAGUCCCUUUCCGUUCAAAGAUUUCAGAUUUGAAAGUAUAGAGAUCCAGAGAGUGUGAAGAGUGGCAGGGAGCAGCUGUUCCCUGAGCAACGUCUCCAACAAAUCCUUGUUUCCUUGGAUCCGAAAUUCUCGAAGAGAGGCAAGUUCUUGCAAUCCCCACUCCACUGAAGGCCUCAUUCUCUCACAAUUUUCGAUCCAAAAUGUUUGUAGGUUGGGAGGCGAACCCCUUUGUGCAGGUGACACCAGAUAUGGAAGAUUUUGUAUCCACAAAUGUUGAAGGGCGGUGAGGGUGUGCAUUAGGGCCGGCAACAACUUCAAAUUCUUGCAUUUGGCUGCACAGUCCUGCCAACAACAACAACAACUUCAAUGCAGAAUAAUGCUUCUCCUUUCGCUACAGUCCUGCCAAUGAUAGAGUGGAAUUACUCUCCACUUCCACAGCAGCAGCCUCCAAAUCAGCUGCCAUCGGCAGCCAAUGACGUAGUGUUAUGGCCUAAAAUGUACGUGGUAGAGAAAAAUGAACCCCCGUGUGCACACUUGGCUGCACAUGAAUCAGGGCUGCACAUGAAUCAGAAAAACAAAUACUAUAUAUUAAGAGAAACAAUGAAUGGACCCCUUAGCGACUGGGAAAUCCUGCUAUGUGCGAUAAUGUACAUGAAUCACUACCACGGUUGAGUUGGUACUUACCAAGAAGGUUUCUAAAAAUUUGAGAGCCCGCUGCUCCAACUUUCACCAUCAAACUUGGGUUAAGGCGUAUCAUCGUCUAUUUCUCCACGCCACCUUCCUCUAGAGCAGUUAAUGAAUCAAAUGAUUGCCUGAACAUAUAGUGACCAAAUCUGCAAUGUUCAAAUAAUUUUUUACUUCGUUUGUUAACUUGCUAUGCGAGACACAUGACAUCACACAGGCUAAAAUAUAGAAAACACACCUCUGAGUCCAGAUGCAACUUUGAAUAUUCUCUUGAUUGCUCAUGAAAUCCACAAUGGCGAGAAGAAUGCUAAUAUAUAGAAAACAAGCCGACAAAUACGUUAGUCCCAUCGUGUUGUCCUGACUGAUUGCAUGGUUGAAUUACAUUGAUACAUCGUGUUGUCAGAUAGUGUUGAAGAAGAAUACUUGUCACAAUCAUCAGAUUCAGAUGAGGAGAUUGGUGAUUCUUCACAAGACGAAAAAGAACCAUUCGAUGUUUUUGAUCGUUUCAACGGUGAGCUUCAUAACCUCUUCACAGAUACAAAUUUGGAAACAAAGGCGACGUCGGAAGAGGCACCUAAUCAAACGCAUCAUAUGGUAGAAUUAGAAGAUGUGGAGCAAUUUGAUUUCAAGGAUAUUGGAAAAAACAAGAAAAUGUUAAAGUACAGUAGAAGGAAAAGGUCGGCUUGCGUAUCAGUCAAACGUGAGGCUCAAGAUCAAACUUCCAAAUUUUUGUCAAAGAUGAAAGUUUCAUUGUUUCCUCUGAAAAUGUCUUUAUUCCAUGAAAUGAAGACUGGGAAAGUUAAAGUCAGUAAGAGUGAGGGUGGAAGCAAGGGAGACAAGAAACUUCAAAGGGGUGUUAUCAGACUUAAUGAAGAUAAUUAGCUGGAAUGUUAGAGGAUUGGGAAGUAGACAGAAGAGACUGACAUUGAAACAGCAGUUUUGACGUUUACAGCCCGAUAUCAUUAUAUUAUAAGAAACUAAGAAAACAUCAAUCGAUAGGAGGCUUGUGGCUAGCGUGUGGGGAAGCAGAUUUAAAGAGUGGAUUUUCACCCCUGCUCAAGGAAGUUCUGGGGGCAUAACAGUAAUUUGGAACACCAAACACAUCUCAGUUACUGAAUCUCUGGUUGGAGCUUUCUCUGUCUCCAUAAAAAUUAAGGCUCUCAACGGGUUGGAAUGGUGGUUAUCAGGUGUCUAUGGCCCUUGUAAAAAUAGAGAGCGUAGAGAGUUCUGGGAAGAAAUGGCUGGCCUUUACGGCCUGUGCGGACCAAGAUGGUGUGUAGGAGGAGAAUUUAACGUGGUGAGAUUCGUAAAUGAGAAAUAAAAUGGGGGAAGGUUGACUACAAGCAUGAGGAAUUUUAAUGAUUUCAUUCGAGAAACAGAACUCAAGGAUUUGGAAAUGCACAACGCUCAAUUUACAUGGUCAAAUUUCAGAGAAGAACCUGUGUGUCGGAGGCUAGACAGAUUUCUGCUCUCUGUAGGUUGUGAAGAGAUUUUUCCAGAGGUAAGACAAAUGGCUUUGGCAAGGGUCAUCUCUGAUCAUUGCCCUAUCCAGCUAGAUUCCAACAAGGUGAAAUGGGGGCCAAGUCCUUUUAGAUUCGAAAACAUGUGGCUACAACAUCCAGAUUUCAGGAACAAGUUCAACGUAUGGUGGCAAUCUGAGCAGGUGGAGGGAUGGGAGGGUUACAAGUUUCUGUUCAAGUUAAAAGCCAUAAAAAAAAAGGUGCAAGUAUGGAGUAAGGAGAGUUUCGGGGAAGUCGAGAAAGACUUUAAAGAAGCCGAGGCCAGCUUAGAAGAGUUAGAUAGGAGAGAGGGGACGGAUGGGCUAGAUGUUGAUGCUAGAAGAAAGGGGGAAGAACUACUUUUCCUUGUGGGAGAUCUGGCUUACAAGGAAGAAGUGAAGUGGAGGUAGAGAAGUAAAGUGGAAUGGGCAAAGGUAGGGGACGGUAAUACUAAAUUUUUCCAUCGAGUUGCAAGUGGGAGAAGGAAGAGAAACUAUAUAGAAAGGUUGGAACCGGAUGUUGGGGGAGUGAUAGAGGAUGCGAAAGAGAUAGAAGAACAUAUCGUCAAUUUCUUCAAGUCCCUGUUUAGUAGCAACGAAGAGGCAUGUUGGGGCCUGGAAGGUAUCAAUUGGGCCCCAAUAAGCGAAUUUGAGGCAGAUUGGCUUGAGAGGCCUUUUGAGGAAGCCGAAGUUCAAAGAGCAGUUUUUGAUUGUGGAAAGGAUAAAUCGCCAGGACCGGAUGGCUAUUCUUUGCAAAUGUUUCAGCAUUGUUGGGAUAUCUUGAAGGCAGACAUUAUGAAGAUUAUGGAGGAGUUCUAUGACACAGGGAUAAUAAAUGCGGUGACAAAUGAAACUUUUAUUUGUCUAAUUCCGAAGAAGUCAGAUUCUUUGAAAGUGACAGACUACAGGCCUAUAAGUCUUGUUACUGGUUUGUAUAAAAUUAUGGCGAAAACCUUGGCCUCAAGAUUAAAGGAGGUAUUGGGCAGCACAAUUUCUCCAAAUCAAGGAGCGUUUGUUAAGGAUCGACAAAUUUUGGAUGCCAUCCUUAUUGCAAAUGAAGUGGUAGAAGAGGUCAGGCAAAAGAAAGAGGAGGGAUUGGUGCUCAAAAUAGAUUUUGAGAAAGCAUAUGAUCAUGUCGAGUGGAGAUUUUUGGAUGAAGUCUUACAAAGAAAAAUCUUUGGCAAUAGAUGGAGGAAAUGGAUGCAGGGAUGCUUAAGUUCGGCAAAUUUCUCCGUUUUGAUCAACAGGAGGCCUAGGGGAAAAUUUCAAGCGUCAAGAGGUUUGAGACAAGGUGACCCACUGUCACCUUUUCUUUUUACCUUAGUAGUCGAUGUCUUGAGUAGGUUAAUGGAGAAGGCUCAAGAAAAUCAUCUCAUCAAAGGUUUAUGCAUUGGGCAAGAAAAGGUGGAGAUUUCUCAUCUUCAAUUUGCAGAUGAUACCAUUUUUUUCUUGGCGGAAGAUGAGGGAGUUUGGAACAAUCUAUUAGAGGUGCUCAACUUAUUCUGUUCUGUUUCAGGGUUGAAAAUCAACAAAGCUAAGUGUUAUUUGGCUGGAAUAAACUCAGAUUGUGAGAAAUUAAAUAGGUUGGCAGAUUCUUGGGGUUGUGAGGUGGGUAGCUGGCCUAUAAAGUAUUUGGGACUCCCUCUUGGGGGUAGGCCAAGAGCACUUAAGUUUUGGGAUCCAGUGGUAGAAAGAUGGAAAAAAGACUUCAAAGCUGGAAGAAGGCCUUCUUAUCUACAACAACAACAACAACAACAACAAAGCCUUUUCCCACUAAGUGGGGUCGGCUAUAUGAAUCCUAGAACGCCAUUGCGCUCGGUUUUGUGUCAUGUCCUCCGUUAGAUCCAAGUACUCUAAGUCUUUUCUUAGAGUCUCUUCCAAAGUUGUCCUAGGUCUUCCUCUACCCCUUCGGCCCUAAACCUCUGUCCCGUAGUCACAUCUUCGAACCGGAGCGUCAGUCGGCCUUCUUUGCACAUGUUCAAAAUCACCGGAGCCGAUUUUCUCUCAUAUUUCCUACAAUUUCGGCUACUCCUACUUUACCUCGGAUAUCCUCAUUCCCAAUCUUAUCCUUUCUCGUGUGCCCACACAUCCCACGAAGCAUCCUCAUCUCCGCUACACCCAUUUUGUGUACGUGUUGAUGCUUCACCACCCAACAUUCUGUGCCAUACAACAUCGCUAGCCUUAUUGCCGUCCUAUAAAAUUUUCCCUUGAGCUUCAGUGGCCUACGACGGUCACACAACACGCCGGAUGCACUCUUUCCAUCCAGCUCGUAUUCUAUGGUUGAGAUCUCCAUCUAAUUCUCCGUUCUCUUGCAAGAUAGAUCCUAGGUAGCGAAAACGAUCGCUUUUUGUGAGCUUCGCUAGAUUGCUCCGGUCAUUAGUGUGGAUAAGUAUAUAAAUGGAUAGAGAUAGGAAAGCAAACACAAGAUGUACGUGGUUCACCCAGAUUGGCUACGUCCACGGAAUAGAAGAGUUCUCAUUAAUUGUGAAGGGUUUACACAAGUACAUAGGUUCAAGCUCUCAUUUAGUGAGUACAAGUGAAUGAUUUAGUACAAAUGACAUUAGGAAAUAUUGUGGGAGAAUGAUCUCGUAAUCACGAAACUUCUAAGUAUCGGAGUGUGGUGUCGUCUUGACUUGCCUUAUCUGUCUCAUAGGUAGAUGUGGCAUCUUCUCUGGAAGUACUCUUCCUCCAUCCAGGGGUGGUAUCUUUAACUGGUGGAGAUGCACAAGGUAAUGUAUCAAUUUCACUUGAAGCUUACUUGUAGUUUCAGGCUUGGUCAAGCGCGAUACAAACCAUGUAGUAGGAGUCCCCCAAGUCGCCGAGCUAGGGGGUCUGCUGAAAGAGGUGACAGACAAGGUAAGCAAUCAGAGCUCCGACUGAUUGUUCACCUUCUCCCCAUCUUGCAGCAGCAUGAAGGAUAAAGAGAAGAAAAAUGAGAAGAGAUGAUAUGAGAUACUUUUGCUUUUGAAGAAGUAACUUUCCACAGGCUUAUUCUUGAACUGAGCUGGAGGGUUUUCUGGUUUCCUCCAGAGUAUAAGGCCGACUGAAGAAUUUGAGGGUCAAAACAAGUCCAUCAAAUCUAGAGUACGUUCCACCCUGCUGAUAUGGGAUACUUUUGCUUUUGACAGAGUAAUGAAUGUAUCGGCACGUGUGCUGUUACGCUUGUCUCCACAUGCUUCCUUGUAUCCUUCGCACUUGCCCUAUCUGUUCCUCAAGCAGAUGCGGAAUCUUCCCUGGAAACAUAAGAUGUUGAAGAUGAGUACUCGAGAGCAAUGCCAGGUAAGUAAUCAGGUAAAAGGGUUCCAGGCAGUCAGUUCCUGGCUGGAAGCUUGAUUCCAAGUGCUGACUGAUUGCUCUCUUUCUCCUUGUCUUGCAGGUAAAAACAAGGCCAAAAGAAAAGACAGGGAAAAAGCAUGAUAUGGGAUACUCUUGCUUUUAACCCUGAUGAUAUGAGAUAUUCUUGCUCUAGUAUAGCUUGUUUGCAGAGGUAUUAUCGGGGGGAAAGAAAGCUGAAUAUUUCGAAAGGCUUCGUUGGGAGUGCCCUCUCAGAUAUGAUGAAGGGUUGAGCAUUUUUGCAGGUCUGCCUAUCCGUUGGGGAUGGAGGUCGACAUAUAUAGGAGUCUCCCUAACAACAAGUAGUAAUGCUAUUCCUUUUACCCUGCUUGGUCAUAGCACGGUAGUGGGAGCUGCCAGUUUCACAUGUUUUAACUCUGUCAGAGCACUUUGAAAAAAGUGGUCUGUGGUAUCUGGCUCUCGAGAUUCGGAGAACGAUGCCUCUUCGAUUUUUGAGAAAGCAAUCAUGCUGGGGGUAUGACUCUCGAGAUUCGGAGAGCAGUGUCUCUUCGAUUUUUGAGGAAGUAAUCAUGUUGGGAGUCUGGCUCUCGAGAUUCGGAGGGCGGUGCCUCUUCGAUUUUGGAGCAAGCAAUCUUGUUGGGAGUGUUGUCUCGAAUGUGAGUAGUAAAGGUUGGGCAUGUUUGCUAGUCUACCUUGCCACGAAGCACAAAGGUUGACACACAGGGAAUUUCCAAUUAUCCAGCAAUGGUACUGUUCCUUUACCCUCUCUUCGAUUUUGAGAAAGUAGUCAUGUUGGGAGUCUGGCUCUCGAGAUUCGGAGGACGGUGCCUCUUCGAUUUUGGAGCAAGCAAUCUUAUUGGGAGUGUUUUCUCGAAUGUGAGUAAAGGUUGGGCAUGUUUGCUAGUCUACCUUGCCACGAAGCACAGAGGUUGACACACAGGGACUUUCCAAUUAUCCAGCAGUGGUACUGUUCCUUUACAGUUGUGGGUAAUAAUAUGGUAGCUAGACCUUCAAAAUUUAUGUGUCUAAACUUUUUAGUGCUGUUUCUUUGCUAUUCUUUUACCUUUCUUGGUCAGAGCGAUGUAGUGGGAGCUGCAAGCUUCACGUGCUCAACUUUGGCAGAGAACUUUGGCAAAGUUAUUUGUGGUACCCAUGAGCUAUUGUUGCGUGUGGGAAGUGGGUGAUUGAACAGUAAGAUUCAUGUGCUUUCUACUUCACCAGAAGUCUUCGACAGAAUGCCCAUAAUUUCUGCAAAGCUGAGUGUGCGUGUGACAGGUGCUGACAAGGCUAGAAAAGUAGGUGCCUCUUCGAUUUCUGAGAUCGGCCCUCGUGGUCUCUGAGCAGCCCAGCUUUUGAGAAAGCGAGCGCCUCUUCGAUUGAUUCGGAGAACGAUGCCUCAUCGAUUUUUGAGAAAGCAAUCAUGCUGGGGGUCUGGCUCUCGAGAUUCGGGGAGCAGUGUCUCUUCGAUUUUUGAGAAAAGUAAUCAUGUUGGGAGUCUGGCUCUCGAGAUUCGGAGGGCGGUGCCUCUUCGAUUUUGGAGCAAGCAAUCUUGUUGGGAGUGUUUUCUCGAAUGUGAGUAAAGGUUUGGCAUGUUUGCUAGUCUACCUUGCCACGAAGCACAGAGGUUGACACACAGGGACUUUCCAAUUAUCCAGCAAUGGUAAUGUUCCUUUACCCUCUCUUCGAUUUUUAAGAAAGUAGUCAUGUUGGGAGUCUGGCUCUCGAGAUUCGGAGGACGGUGCCUCUUCGAUUUUGGAGCAAGCAAUCUUAUUGGGAGUGUUUUUCUCGAAUGUGAGUAAAGGUUGGGCAUGUUUGCUAGUCUACCUUGCCACGAAGCACAGAGGUUGACACACAGGGACUUUCCAAUUAUCCAGCAGUGGUACUGUUCCUUUACCCUUGUGGGUAAUAAUAUGGUAGCUAGACCUUCAAAAUUUAUGGGUCUAAACUUUGUUAGUGCUGUUUCUUUGCUAUUCUUUUACCCUUCUUGGUCAGAGCAAUGUAGUGGGAGCUGCAAGCUUCACGUGCUCAACUUUGGCAGAGAACUUUGGCAAAGUUAUCUGUGGUACCCAUGAGCUAUUGUUGCGUGUGAGAAGUGGGUGAUUGAACAGUAAGAUUCAUGUGUUUUCUACUUCCCCAGAAGUCUUUGACAGAAUGCCCAUAAUUUCCGCAAAACUGAGUGUGCGUGUGACAGGUGCUGACAAGGCUGGAAAAGGCUGGAAAAGUAGGUGCCUCUUCGAUUUCUGAGAUCGGCCCUCGUGGUCUCUGGGGAGCCCAGCUUUUGAGAAAGCGAGCGCCUCUUCGAUUUUUGAGAUCGGCCUUCGUGGUCUUUGAGCAGCCCAACUUUUGAGAAAGCAAACGCCUCUUCGAUUUCUGAGAUCAACCCUCGUGAUCUCUAAGCAGCCCAGCUUUUGAGAAAGCAAACGCCUCUUCGAUUUCUGAGCAGGCGCCUCUUCGAUUUCUGAAGCUUCGUCGAGUGCAGAUUUUUUAUAGGGGCUGGCAUUAAGUUCCAAAGCACACUUGAAUCUCCACCAGUAGAAGCUUCAUUCUUGCACUUCUAAGAUCUUGAUUUGUCCGACCUCUUCUCUCUUUCAACACCUUUGAAAAUGUCUGGCCCCUCCGACCGUCGUUUUGACUUGAACCUUGUUGAAGAGGCAGCCCUGCCUUCUCCAGACAACAUAUGGCGCCCAUCCUUCGUCUCCCCUACUGGUCCUCUUACCGUUGGGGAUUCCGUGAUGAAGAAUGAUAUGACCGCUGCGGUGGUGGCCAGGAACCUUCUCACUCCCAAAGAUAACAGACUACUUUCCAAACGGUCUGAUGAGUUAGCUGUUAAGGAUUCGCUGGCUCUCAGUGUUCAGUGUGCAGGUUCUGUGUCUAAUAUGGCCCAACGCCUAUUUGCUCGAACCCGCCAAGUUGAAUCAUUGGCGGCUGUGAAGUGAUGAGUCUCAAACAGGAGAUUAGAGGGCUCAAGCAUGAGAAUAAACAGUUGCACCGGCUCGCACAUGACUAUGCUACAAACAUGAAGAGGAAGCUUGACCAGAUGAAGGAAACUGAUGGUCAGGUUUUACUUGAUCAUCAGAGAUUUGUGGGUUUGUUCCAAAGGCAUUUAUUGCCUUCGUCUUCUGGGGCUGUACCGCGUAAUGAAGCUCCAAAUGAUCAACCUCUGAUGCCUCCUCCUUCUAGGGUUCUGUCCAGUACUGAGGCUCCAAAUGAUCCCCUUCCGGUGCCUUCUCUUUCUGGGGCUCUACCGACUGCUGAGACUUCUCCUAAGCAACCUUUGUGAAGGCUCCCUCUUGUGUGCUUAUUUUGACUCAUGUAUAUGUACAUAUUUGUAGCUUAUCGGGGAUAUCAAUAAAUAAGCUUUCCUUCAUUUCAACGUAUUGUGUUAAAUACACCAAAGCCUUCUUUCGCUAAGUUCUUUGAAUUUUCUUUUUGUUAAAGCUUGUAUGUUGAAGCUUUCUGAGUAGAGCAUGUAGGUUGGGGUAGUGUUCCCUUAAUUUCCCGAGUGAGGAAAACUUCUCGGUUGGAGACUUGGAAAAUCCAAGUCACUGAGUGGGAUCGGCUAUAUAAAUCUUAGAACGCCAUUGUGCUCGAUCCUGUGUCAUGUCCUUCGUUAGAUCUAAGUACUCUAAGUCUUUUCUUAGAGUCUCUUCCAAAGUUUUCCUAGGUCUUCCUCUACCCCUUCGGCCCUGAACCUCUGUCCCAUAGUCGCAUCUUCUAAUCGGAACGUCAGUAGGCCUUCUUUGCACAUGUCCAAACCACCGUAACCGAUUUUCUCUCAUCUUUCCUUCAAUUUCGGCUACUACUUUACCCCGGAUAUCCUCAUUCCUAAUCUUAUCCUUUCUCGUGUGCCCACACAUCCAACGAAGCAUCCACAUCUCCGCUACACCCAUUUUGUGUACGUGUUGAUGUUUCACCGCCCAACAUUCUGUGCCAUACAGCAUCGCCGGCCUUAUUGCCGUCCUAUAAAAUUUUCCCUUGAGCUUCAGUGGCAUACGGCGGUCACACAACACGCCGGAUACACUCUUCCACUUCAUCCAUCCAGCUUGUAUUCUAUGGUUGAGAUCUCCAUCUAAUUCUCCGUUCUUUUGCAAGAUAGAUCCUAGGUAACGAAAACGGUCGCUCUUUGGUAUUUCUUGAUCUCCGAUCCUCACCCCUAACUCGUUUUGGCCUCCAUUUGCACUGAACUUGCACUCCAUAUAUUCUGUCUUUGAUCGGCUUAGGCGAAGACCUUUAGAUUCCAAUACUUCUCUCCAAAGGUUAAGCUUUGCAUUUACCCCUUCCUGAGUUUCAUCUAUCAACACUAUAUCGUCUGCGAAAAGCAUACACCAAGGAAUAUCAUCUUGAAUAUGUCGUGUUAACUCAUCCAUUACCA
rnacentral:lncRNA from 1 species